rnacentral:lncRNA from 1 species
UUUUUUUUUUUAAAGUUGAAGGGGAAAGUGGAGGAGGAAAUUACGAGGCGGUGAAUCGAAUUGUCAUCAACAAGGUCAAAAUUAAGAUAGCCAACAAAGUGAACCACUAAUAUUUUCCGGGCCUAUCGAUUCCACAAUUUCAUAAGUUAACUGAAAUAUGUUCUAUUGAAUAACUUUUUGCAUUUUCUAAAACAAUGUCAUAUCAUAGCUACCAAAUCAUUGAAAUGGCUGUUUUUCUUUCUCCCAAUAAAGACAAGGCUUCCCAGAUACGUAAAUGGCAAUUUAUAUGUGAUAUCCCAAUAUAUUUUUUUUGUAUAAAAAAAAGAUAGGAGUUUACUUCUCCUGCCUUUUUGUCAGCUUCUGUGGUAUCUUGGUACUGCUCUUGUCUUGGGUGGGAUUAUUGCUUCUAUCAAUUUUUUACAGAUAAACAUUUUCAUUACUUUUUACUUGAAUAUUUUCCUCCUGCUUAGCUCUAUGAUUUGUCUCCCUCUGAUUAGCUUGGAUCUGACUAUUUUGAUCAUGUGAUCGAUGUAUGUCCAUGCGAGAAUAACAAAAAAAGAAAAAAAAAAUUAAAAUAAACGAUAUCGAAGUAAUCUGUAACAUAUCAAACCGAUACAAAUGUGUUAAUUACCACGUUCUUUACGUUAUUAAUAUUCUUUCUUUUUUUUUUUGUAAAAAAUAUAUGUCAAGAAAAAUAGAAUAUUUUCUCACAUACUUUCAGAUGUUUGGUUGGUAAUCUUAGGGUAUAAUAUUCGAGCUUCAAAAAGCUAAUUAAAAUGCUAGUCGUAUUUACAUCUUUGCGAGAAUGAUUGUUUAAACUUAGUAUAUUAUUAAUUACAUUCUUAAAAGAUGAAUGCCUAUCUCUUUUUCUUCUUUUUUUUUUUAAGAUUACACAUAAGUGGAAGGGGAAACACUACUAAAAUUUCGGGAAAAACCGUCUAAAAUAACCAACCAAAGUUUGUCGGUAAUAGCCAAUAACCGUUCAUAACGUGACCAUUAACGAGUGGUCGGUAUUUUGAAGGUCGAAAUGGCAUACCGACUAAAGUUGGUCGGAAGGUCGAUUAAAUUCAAAAAAAAAAAAUUGCUGAAAAAAUCGACCAAAGUUGGUCGAUAUUUUAAUUAUGUAAUUAAAAAAUGCACCAUCUGGGAAUCAAACCGGGGUCUGUACUGUGACAAGAUACUAUUCUACCACUAGACCAUUAGUGCAUUUUAUUUUUAAACUAUCUUUUAUUUUAUUUAUAUUCUUUAAUUGUAUUUUCGCACGAAAAUAACCAACCAAAGUUGGUCAGUUUUAUUAAAAAAUAAAAUUACCAACCGAAUUUGGUCGGUUUUUUAAAAUAACCGGCCGAAUUAACCGACCGAUUUUGGUCGAUUUUUUUAAUAUUAAUUUUAAUUUAUUUUAAAUAAAAAACUGACCAAAGUUGGUCGGUUUCUUGAAAAUAAUUUUGCGGGACUCAAAAAUAGUUUCCCGCAUUUUUGCGCCGUAGAAAACCUUCCAAAGUUGGUCGGUUUCGUAAAAUAAUUAUUUUGAAAAACAAACCAACUUUGGUCGAUUUUUUUGCCGAUUUUUUGACCGAGCAAAAUUGAUCGGUCGACCGUGGUCGGUUUUUGCCGAAUUUCUAGUAGUGAAAGUGGAGAAGGAAAUUACGAGGUGGCGAAUCGAACUGUCGCCAACAAGAUCAAAAUUAAGAUAGCCAACAAAGUGAACCACUAAGAUUCUCAGGGCCUAUCGAUUUCUGGUCCUGAUAAUUUCAUAAGUUAACUGAAAUAUAUUCUAUUGAAUAACUAUUGCAUUGUCUAAAAAAAAUAUCAUAUCCGUAAAACCGAGGGUAAAUUUAUGUUUUGACAAUUCCAGUAAUGAGUUCUCAUUUUCAAUGCCAGAUCCAAAUUUUAAUCUCUUUGGAUUCAACCUUUAAGGCGCCUAGCAUUAACCUUAUUGUAUUUUUAAAAUUAUGAAUUCACACUAAAGGUGCACAAAGAAAACCAACAAACCACAUUGAACCGAUAAAUUGAGUCAAACCUAUGAAAAACAGUAUUGAAUCGGAUAAACCUAAUGUCACAAUGUUACAUCCGUCUCUUCUCAUCUUGGCCAUUGAUUUAAAGGAUAAUGUUAUUUUACUCCCCUGUCUCCCUUCCCACCUCGGAGGAUCUAGUUAUUAUUUUCUUAAAUUGGGGGGGGGGGGGGGGGAUGAAACAAAAUUUUCUCUUAAAAGUAAGGAUGCAUUUUUUUCUUAGACACCAUUUUGCAAAAUCCUUCAGCAGCGCUUUUGUGAAGGGGCAAAUUAUGAAUAAUAAAAGUUAAGAGCAUAGUAGUAGUAGUAGUUGUUGUUGUAAGUGAAAACUGUAACAUUAUAUGUUCAUCUAACUCGAGUCAAAUCGGUGAAUAUGAAUCGAAGUCAAAUAAAAUCAAGUUUAGACACAAAGAGUUAACAUUAAGUUAGAACAUCAGGAAGUCUAGAGAAAGGAAUAGAGAAAGUCUGAGUAGUUGAAGAUGAAACAACUUCAUUUGAAGCAACAAAAAGAAAAACAUAAAUUGGAAUGGGGGGAGAGGUUAAAGUCAAAAAGAGGAUUUCCUCAUAAAUUGCACGAGACUUUCAUCUCACACGACUCCUAAGUAAUAAAUUUCCUCAUUUAAUAGCAUUACCUUCUACCAAAGACAACAAUCUCUACAUUCUCAUUCUCAAUAUUCAAGACCAACUUUCACACCGUCACCAAAUCCAACCAUUUCUUGGCUUGAAUCUUGUUCGAUCCAUAAACAUGUGUGUAUAUGGUCAAAAUCGGACAUGUCAGAUUUCGUAGACACAAGGAGCUGUCUCGAGAGUAAGCUCAUGAUAGACCAGGCUGGAGCUCAAUGGCAGAGUAUGGAGCAUGAAGAUCAAAGUGCUCGCUGAAGAUCGAGACCGAGCAUGACCGACUUCGAGUAAGUCAUAAUAACGGAAUGGCGAAAUAUUAUCAACCGACCGAAGAUCUCGGCGGAAAUCCCAGAACAGAUCGAAUCAAGCAGUUAUUGACGCCAAUCAUGGGAUCUGUUUCCGUUAUUAGAAUUGUACCUUGUUUAAGAUUCCUCUACUAUAUAAAGAGAGGCCCUAUUCAUUUGUAAGGGGCAUUGAUUCACUGAUAAAGAUAUACAAAAACGCUGCUCUCUAUUUUACUUACUAUCCAUUACUGUUCAUCAUUGUUUAUCUUCCGCUCUUUACUAUUCUUCUUACCCAACCUCGAGACCAUCUCGAAUCGAGGUCGAAAGCUCUGCUAGAACACUGGUUUGAUUUAUUUUAUUAUUCAGAUUAUUUAUUCAAUUCCUUGUUUGUCAUUGAUAUUGAAUAAAAUCAUGUAUCCUUAAAACCACUAAAUAAGUUUAAUUAUUACUCGAAUUUUAGGGUAAACAGUUUGGCGCCCACCGUGGGGCUAAGAAUAAUAGUGAUUGUUCAGUAUUGAUUCUGGUAAAACACACUAUUUUACGCUUGUUCUUGUUGAGUGCCUUUGCUUUCAGGUUAAAACAUGUCAAACUCACAAAACGCAUCCACACACGGUAACAAUGGCCUCGGAUUCCACGAUGAAAACGAAAAUGUAAUCGCUCCAGGAAUCGAGGUGCCACAGGCUAAUCUCAAGGCAGCACCGGUUGCCAACCCAGUCGAUGUUAGUUAUCACGUUGCUCUAAACGCGGACCUAGGCGCAGAUCACGAUGGGAGUGUAUGUAGAGAAGGCCGAUCUAGUGGCCAAGGAACACAGGAAAGAGGAGACGAAGGCCAAUUCAUAUUCGAGAUGCUUCAGGCUCAGCAAGCCGCUAUUGCUCAGUUAUAAAAUCAACACAGAGAUCUGAAUAGGGUCGAGCCGAAAAUUACUAGUCGUACCGAGCCAGUACCGGAAAGGUCGAAUGGUAACAAAUCGUAGACAUUACGAUAAUAAAAAUGCUUGAGGAGCUCACCAAAAGAAUUGAAUCAGGGGAGAAGAGAAUCGAAGCCAACGAUAAGAAAGCGGAGACAUACAACUCUCGAGUUGAUCAGAUACCAGGGGCACCGCCAAUCUUGAGAGGGAUGGAUUCGAAGAAGUUUGUACAAAAGCCGUUUCCUCUAAGUGCGGCUCCGAAGCCUAUUCCAAAGAAAUUUCGUAUGCCAGACAUACCCAAAUACAAUGGGACUACUGAUCCCAACGAGCAUGUUACUUCAUAUACAUGCGCCAUCAAGGGUAACGAUUUAGAGGAUGAUGAAAUCGAAUCCGUGCUGUUGAAAAAAUUUGGAGAGACUCUUUCGAAGGGAGCAAUGAUUUGGUAUCACAACCUGCCACCAAAUUCCAUCGAUUUAUUUGCCAUGUUAGAAAAUUCUUUCGUAAAGGCAUAUGCCGGAGCCAUAAAGGUCGCAACGAGGAAAUCGGACCUUUUCAAGGUAAUACAAAGGGAUAAUGAAAUGCUAAUGGAGUUCGUGUCCCGAUUUCAAAUGGAGCGCAUGGAGUUGCCACCGGUCACAGAUGAUUGGGCUGUUCAAGCUUUCACCCAAGGGUUGAACGAACAGAGUUAGAUAGCAUCACGGCAAUUGAAACAAAAUUUGAUCGAGUAUCCAGCUAUAACUUGGGCAGAUGUACACAAUUGAUAUCAGUCGAAGAUCAGGGUCGAGGAUGACCAAUUAGGAGCCCCUUCCGGUUCAGUAUAUCCAAACAGGUUGACAGUUAAAAAUCAGAGGGACGUCGACAGGGAGCCAAGGUCGAACAGGGACUGAUAUCAACCAUAUACCGCAGAUCGAAGGAACAAUGGUUCAGGAUGCAAUUCCGCCCGGAACGAUCGAAGAAGUGACCGAGGACAGAAUUCUCGGGGACUUACGAGCAAAAGUGGUUUCGACAAGUAUGCCGAUCCCACAUAGGCACCUCGGUUAUCAGAAUAUAACUUUAGCAUCGAUGCAUCGGGCAUUAUUUCGGCAAUCGGAAGGAUCAGAGAUACUAGGUGGCCCAAACCUAUACAAACCGAUCCUUCCCAAAGAAACCCAAAUUUGAUGUGCUAGUAUCAUGGCACGCAUGGUCACAAGACCGAGGAUUACAGGCAAUUAAGGGAGGAGGUAGCCCAUCUAUUCAAUGAGGGUCACCUUCGGGAGUUCCUCAGCGAUUGAGCCAAGAAUCAUUUCGGAGAAAGGGACGUCAACAAGAAAAAUGAACAGGAGGAACCCCAACAUGUCAUUCAUAUAAUCGUCGGUGGGGUCGACAUCCCACAGGAACCCAUAUUCAAACGCACUAAGGUUUCAAUCACCAGGGAAAAACGAACCCGAGAUUAUGUGCCCGGAGGCACUUUAUCAUUCAACAACGAAGAAACGGAAGGCAUUUCUCAUCCCCACAACGAUGCUCUGAUAAUUUCUAUCUUAUUAAAUAAAGUUCAAGUUAAGCGUGUUUUAGUGGAUCCAGAUAGCUCGGCAAAUAUCAUCCGAUCGAGGGUCGUGGAGCAGCUCGGCCUACAAAGUCAAAUCGUACCCGCAACUCGAGUCUUAAACGGCUUCAAUAUGGCCAGUGAAACAACAAAAGUGGAGAUUAUUCUACCAGUGAACGUGGCUGGAGCCAUUCAAGAUAUCAAGUUCCACGAAAUCGAGGGCGACAUGAGGUACAAUGCCCUGCUCAGAAGUCCUUGGAUCCACAAUAUGAGGACACUCCCUUCAACUCUCCACUAAAUGAUAAAAUUCCCGACGUCGGAUGGUGUAAAAAUAGUAUACGGGGAGAAGCAUGCUGCAAAGGAAAUGUUUGCGAUCAAUGAGGUGACCCCGAUAUCGACACUAUCAACCUCGAAAAGGUCGAGCAUCAAAGAUAAACAGGAAUUCAAAUAGCAAUCACAGCCACCAGCCUCGACCGAAUCAGGGAAGCGGGAGAUAGAAGAAGAAGAUGAGGAUUUUCUGACCCCUCAAACUUUUGUUGUUCCCAAAGAUACUGACGCCACCNNNNNNNNNNNNNNNNNNNNNNNNNGGGAAGACCCCAGUCCGAAGUAAAGCACGCAUUCAUAAAGGACGAGGUAACUAAACUUCUAAAAAUAGGAUCCAUUCGGGAGGUGAAAUAUCCCGAAUGGUUAGCCAAUGUAGUUGCAGUCCCUAAAAAAGGGGACAAACUUAGAAUGUGUGUAGAUUAUAAGGAUUUAAACAAGGCGUGCCCCAAAUAUUCUUUUCCACUGCUUAACAUCGAUCACAUGAUCGAUGCCACGGCCGGCCACGAGAUCCUUACUUUUCUUGAUGCCUAUUCCAGGUACAAUCAAAUCCAAAUGAACCCGGAAGACCAAGAAAAGACUUCAUUUAUCACCAAGUAUGGAAUAUAUAGUUAUAAUGUAAUGCCCUUCGGGCUAAAAAAUACAUGAGCUACUUACCAAUGCCUAGUGAAUAAAAUAUUCGAAGAACAAAUAGGUAAAUCAAUGGAGGUUUAUAUUGAUGACAUACUAGUUAAUUCCCUGCGCGCAGAGGACCAUUUGGCUCAUUUGCAGGAAACGUUCUAGAUUUUAAGGAAAUCCAACAUGAAGCUCAACCCCGAGAAAUGUGAUUUCGGGGUUAGUUCGGGCAAAUUCCUUGGCUUCAUGGUAUCAAAUCGGGGGAUCGAGAUCAACCCCGAUAAAAUUAAGGCCAUCGAAGACAUCGCCCUUGUGGAUAGUGUAAAGGCCAUACAGAGGCUAAUUGGACGGAUAACUGCCUUAGGCCGAUUCAUUUCGAGGUCAUCGGAUCAAAGCCACAGAUUUUUCUCUUUACUCAAAAAGAAGAGCGAUUUUGCCUGGACACCGGAAUGCCAACAGGCAUUGGAAGAGUUGAAGUGAUACCUAUCGAUUCCACCACUGCUUCACACUCCAAAUGCAGAUGAGAAACUUUACUUGUACUUGGCAGUAUCAAAAAUUGCGGUAAGUGGUGUCUUAGUUCGGGAAGAGCAAGGUACGCAAUUUUCCCUUUAUUAUGUAAGUUGAACCUUAGGAGAAGCAAAAACUAGAUAUUCACACUUAGAAAAAUUGGCACUUGCACUGAUAAUCGCCUCUAGAAAGUUAAGACCAUACUUUCAAUGUCACCCCGUAUGCGUAUUAACCACUUACCCACUUCAUAAUAUUUUGCACAAACUCGAACUGUCGGGCCGAUUGGCCAAAUGGGUCGUCGAACUCAGUGGGUACGACAUAUAAUAUCAACUCCGUACGGCCAUCAAGUCUCAAAUUUUAGCGGACUUUGUGGCCGAUUUCACACCAACCCUCGUACCUGAAGUUAAAAAGGAACUCUUGUUAAAAUUGGGUACGUCAUCGGAGGUAUGGACCCUUUUCACAGACGGUGCUUCAAAUGUGAAGGGGUCCGGGCUAGGCAUCAUUUUGAAGCCGCCCACGGGUAGCACUAUUAGGCAAUCUAUCAAAACUUCUAGGUUGACUAAUAAUGAGGCCGAGUAUGAGGCCAUGAUUGUAGGUUUCGAGCUAGAUAAAAGACUGGGGAUAGAAGUCAUUGAAGCCAAGUGUGACUCUUUACUGAUGGUGAACAAAGUAAAUAAAACCUUCGAAGUUCGAGAGGAUAGAAUGCAAAGGUAUUUGCAAAAGCUACAGGUAACUUUGCACCGUUUCAAGGAAUGGACAUUACAGCAUGUACCUCGAAAACAAAAUAGUGAGGCUGAUGCACUUGCAAGCUUGGGGUCGUCGGUCGAGGAAGAUGAGAUUAGCUCGGGGACUGUCGUUCAACUCUCGAGAUCCGUGAUCAAGAAAGGCCAUGCCGAGGUAAACUCUACAAGCUUAACCUAGGAUUGGAGGAAUAAAUAUAUUGAAUACUUGAAGAAUGGAAAGCUCCCAUCGGAUCCUAAAGAGUCGAGGACCUUAUGAACCAAAGCUGCUCGAUUCACAUUGGCUGAAGAUGAAACAUUAUACAGAAGAACAUUCGAUGGACCAUUGGCAGUGUGCUUAGGGCCAGGAGGCAUCGAUUAUGUUUUACGAGAGGUCCAUGAAGGCACUUAUGGGAACCACUCCGGCGCCGAAUCACUGAUUCACAAAAUCAUUAAAGCAGGAUACUAUUGGGAUAGCAUGGAAAAGGAUACUAAGGAGUUUGUUCGAAAAUGUGAUAAAUGUCGAACUUUUGCUCUGAUGAUCCAUCAGCCUGGAGAACAACUUCAUUCAGUCCUAUCUUCAUGGCCAGUCAUGAAAUGGGGGAUGGAUAUCGUCGGGCCCCUUCCAUCGGCGCCUGGUAAAGCUAAGUUCAUUUUAUUUAUGACUGACUAUUUCUCUAAAUGGGUUGAAGAACAGGUGUUCGAGAAAGUGAGAGAAAAAGAGGUUAUAGACUUCAUUUGGGAUCACAUCGUGUGUCAAUUUGGGAUACCCGCAGAAAUAGUAUACGACAAUGGUAAGAAAUUUAUCGACAGUAAAGUGACAAAAUUUCUCGAAGACCAUAAAAUAAAAAGGAUAUUGUCAACACCGUAUCACCCUAGUGGGAACGGACAGGCCGAAUCGACGAACAAGACUAUCAUCCAAAACCUGAAGAAAAGGUUGAACGAAGUUAAAGGGAAAUGGAGAGAAAUUCUGCCCAAAGUCUUUUGGGCAUAUCGAACAACAUCGAAGUCCAGUACAGGGGCAACUCCGUUUUCGUUAGUGUAUGGCUCCGAAGCCUUAAUUCCAGUCGGAGUACCCAGUGCAAGGUUUCGACAUGCAUCGGAGGAAUCGAACCGCGAGGCUAUGAAUACUAGCCUCAAAUUAUUAGAUGAAAAAUGAGAAGCGACACUUGUUCGAAUGGCUGCACAAAAGCAACGAAUCGAAAGGUACUACAAUAGAAGAACCAACCUUUGCCACUUCAGGAUCGGGAACUUAGUCCUAAAGAAGGUCACCAUCAACACUCGAGAUCCUAAUGAAAGGAAGCUCGGCCGGAAUUGGGAAGGACCCUAUCAAGUCCUCGAUAUAGUCAAAAAAGGGUCCUAUAAACUCGGAACGAUGGACGACGAACCAUUACCAAACAACUGGAACAUAUCACUUCUCAAACGAUAUUAUUGUUAAGGUAUGACUUUCUCCCUUCUUUCGUUUAUAUAUAUUCAGCACUAACUCAUUGCAGGAGUUCAACCAAAGACAUCGAGACCUCAGGUUUUAAAGUAUGUGUUGCACUCUUUUUCCCUUAGAUCGGUUUUUAUCCCAAUUGGGUUUUCCCGGCGAGGUUUUUAACGAGGCAACAAUUAUGUGCUACCUGAGGACAAUUCAAUGGUANNNNNNNNNNNNNNNNNNNNNNNNNAUAGGGAAGCUUUGUAAUGGAUCAAACGGUCAAGUGAACCGUGUUCAUAUAAAUUAGUCGAGCCCCGAUGGCAAAACAUGUGCGCAUGUAUAAACUAUUCAAAGAAGCAUUCUCUCUUCAUUUAAACAUUUUGUGUCUCAAAAAAAAUUAUCUACUAUACAAACCUCAUGCUUAUGAUAUUGCGAGAAACGACUCAAGAGCCAAAGUGCAAUAUACACUCGGGGACUACCAUCGAUGAUAGGCAUAUUCGAGUUAUUUAAACACAAAUGCAUAAGACCUAAAAGAGGCACCCCUCGAUCUAUAGGCCAAGGCCACCAUUCUCGGGGACUGACAUUUCAAACAAGUUCGAAAUGUUAGUGGGAAAUAAGCCCAAGAGGCGUACCCGAAGGCUACGGCCAAACUAAAGGCUACGGCCAAACUAAAGGCUACAGUCUAAAUAAUGCGGCUCGGAUACGUCUGAAUUCCGCAAUAACGAUAGGCCUUACAAAUUCUCUGAAAAAUCGAUUAAAAAGGCUACCCUUGGCAAAUAAUCAAAAGGGCUUCGAUAAAAUCAGCCCUCGAAAAACCUUAAGAGGUAUCAAAUUAUCUUUAACACAAACGUGCUAAGGCACAAAAAGUAAAAGUGUUUCAACCGACAUCGGACCCUCAAAAAACCCAAUGGGUAAUAAGCCGAAAGGCGGAAAUAAUAGUCGUCUUUUAGAGUCCAUAUGGGCCCAACCUAAAAGAGCCUAAGGACCAAUACAUUUAGAGUUCGAGAAUUUGUUCUCACUCGACUCGGACCUAAGGGUUCCACUAUUCCGAGUUCAAAUAAAGUUGAUUUGAACUUAGCUCAAGGAUCCUCCAUAAAAUCUUAAGGGGUAUGUUACUGUAAGUUCGAAAAUUACCCAUUAUUUGAUUAAAAAACCUAAGAAUUUAUUCUAUUCUAAGUUCAAAACAUACUCAAACUCAGUUAUAAAAACAGUGCAGUCAUGGCAUCGAUCAAGCCAUCCGAAAUCUCGAAUAUAUUAUUGAGCUCAGGGACUCGCCCUUGCGUGUCUAAAAAACCUAAGGGUUUUGUUCUAAGUUCGAACUAGUGUUCACUCGAUUACGGAGGCUGCAACAAUAAAACUUUCAUAAGGAAAGAGCACAAAACACGUUUGAACAUAAAAUUGAGAAGACAUUCAAAAGAAGUUUUUCUAUUAUAUAUUCAUAGAAACAGUUAUGUAAAAGAGACCGAUCAAGGUCUUACAAAAAGAUAAACUAAGUCCUAACUACGGCCGGUUUCGACCUCUUCUUCGGGAGAAACUUCUCCUUCAUCGGAUCCACCUCGACUGCCUUCUUCAUCAUCGUCUUCGUCGUCAAAGGAGGCAAGCUGCCUGGCUUCAGCUCAAGCACCUUGGCUCAGGCUAUCUCCUCGGAGAGGUAAAAACCUCGAGUAUGGAUUUCCUCGAGGGUUUCAAUCCGGGAUUGACACUUUGCCGAGUCAAUGAUCCAUUGCUCUCAGUCAGAAGCCUCCCUUAGCUGCAUUUGAGCAGCCUCAUCAUCGGCCUGGUACAUGGCAAUGGACUUGUCCGCCAUGACUUUUGUCUUCUCGAUCUCCGCAUUGGCCUUAGCAUGCCCGGUUUUAAGCUCCUCGAUCUUCUUAGCUUGGGCCAAACUUUUCUCUUUGACGCCUUAAAGUUGAACCUCGGUCGAUGACAGUCUGGCCGAGGUAGUUUCUUUUUCCGCAGCCAGGAAAUCCAUAUUCUCCUUCCACCGAUCACAAUCAGCCUUUACCUGAUCGACUUCUCCCCAAAGUAGCUCGAUCCUUUCAACCUUUUGCUGCAGCUGAGAUAAUGAAGCAUUAGCCUCCAUAGUUGGGUCGAGUCCGUACUUUAUCAAAAGGAUUCUCACCUGCUUUUCUAACUCGGCUUCUUCCUCAUGAACCUUGGCCAAAUCCGCUUGAAGGUCCUUUAUAGUUUCGUCUUUUUGGCCGCAAAGAAGCUUCAGAGCGUUCCUCUCCUCCGAGACCUUUUGGUUCUCGGUUUCACACUGGCUGAGGUCAGCUCGAAACUUGGCGAAGGCCUAUACAAAAAAGGAAAAUACAAGUUAGAUUUAGAGAAAAAAGAGUAAAUAAAAGAAAGUGCAGUAAACUAAUUCUUAUCCGAGAUAAGAGACGUUCGGCCUCUUCUAAAAGAAUAGAGGCGUCACCGAUAUCAGAGGCAUCAUCGACUCCAGUAAAGUAAUCCCGAAAGGGAUCCCCUACACUAGAGCCUCCGUCUAUAUCAUGGGUCGUCAACUCUCAAGCUUCCCUUAGUGCCUCCUCAGAAAAUGUCGGAAGAGAAGGCAAGUGACAUGUUGUCAUGUUCCCGAGCAAGUCACUCGGAACGCUCUAAUCGAUCUUUGGGGUCUCAGAACCGGCCCCGUCCGAUGUAAUUGCAGAUGGCCGAGAAAUGGCCUCGACCUCUGGUAAUUCGGGAUCCUCACCCGAUUUCUUUUUGGAAGCCUCCUCGACACGAGGCUUGAUUUUAGCAGUCGCCGUCGACUCAGAAGGUUUGGUGACCUCGACGGCUUUCCUAGGUCGAACUGUCAGUGCCGAGGCAUUUUCCUCUUCUUCUUCUUCUUCUUCUUCUUCUUCUUCUUCUUAUUCUUAUUCUUCUUCUUCUUUGUCUCUUAGUUUUUGGACCGAGUCCAUCGUGAGAGCGAUUACUUUCCUCCUCAACCUUCGAGGAUUGGGCUUGGGGUCCUCGGACUACGAGGCAGUUUUCCUCUUCUUGUCUUCCCUCGGCUUCGAAACCGGGGACUUGGUUUCUUCCUCACCACUUGAAGGCCUCAAAAUGGCAUCCUUAGUCAGGCCUGCAUGAAAGAAAAUUAGUGACGAAUGGAGUAUAAAUAGUGUUUCAGAACAUGAAUAAGGAGAUCCUUACCAUGGUCCUUGGUCUCCCAUCUGCCCUUUGCCAAAUCACGCCAUGCGCGUUCGGCAUAUGUGGAAGUUGAGGCUAACUUCCGAACCCAAUCUUCAAGGUCAGGUACCGCUUGAGGCAUCCAAAGAACAGCUGCAUGUUGAAAGGGGAUGUCAGGUGAAGUCGAAGAAGAUACGAAGGACAAAGUUUAAAAGAUCACUUACGGUUGAAGUUCCACUCUUCAGGGAACGACAUCUUCUCUUCCGGGAUAAUGUCGCAGGUCCUCACCCGUAUAAAACGGCUCAUCCAACCCCGAUCCUUAUCCUCAUCGAUGCUCAAGAUCAAGGCCUUCGUUGCCUGGUGUUGGAGCCUGUUUAGUCCUCGGUAGAUUUGAGGCCGGUACAAUAGCAUGAGGUGAUUUAGAGUGAACUCUAUCCCCUCGGCCUUGCUAGAGAAGAAGUGCAACAUGAUUACUAUGCACCAUAGAGAGGGGUGGAUUUGGCCAAGGGUGACCUGAUAUUAUUUACAGAGAUCAAUAAUCACUGGAUCGAGGGGACCCAAUAUGAAGGGGUAAGUGUAAACACUUAAGAACCCCUCCACAUAAGCGGUGAUGCUCUCUUCGGGAGCAGGAAUUUGCAUCACGACCUCGGGACCCCAGUUGCAGUCCCUCUUCACGGCCUCGAGGUAGAGCUUCAAUAUUGAGCACAUGUACAUCGACACAUGCUCACAUCGGCCAGGGAUCGAUGAAGGGUUUUUGACCUUGAAGUCAGAUUUUAGAGUACACGGGACGGGAACAUAUUCAUGGGGAAGCGGGUCUGGCGGCAAGGCCGGGAAGAGGAGCAAGUAGACUUCUCCUUAUGCGGUAAAGUCUUUGAGGUUUUUGCCAUUUGUAUAAGUAAAGAAGAGCGAAGAAAGAUGAAAAACUGGUAGUUUCAGUGCUAACGACGGUGGCUCUACAGACGGCGAAAGGUAGGAGACGAAAAGAGUGAGAAUACUUAGAGGAUUGAUUAGAGCAAAGAAAAGUUUGAUUCAAUGAAAGAGCAAGUAUUUAUAGGUUCACGACGAAGGUUCGGUGGCGUUAGUGGCCGACCGCUAACUGACAAACAUUAAUAAUUUGGGGAACUGAACUGACGGGACAUUUCGAUCAUAUCCGUCACUUACGUCAUAAGGACGACGUUAUGAUCAAGGUUUCGGUAAAGCAAGGCUCAAACCGUUUCUUAUCAUUUUAUUCCAAGGAACGCUGGGACUAACUGUAUACGGUCAAAAUCGAGCAUGUCAGAUUUCAUAGGCACGAGGAGCUUCCUCGAGAGUAAGCUCAUGAUAGACCAGGCUCGAGCUCAAUGGCAGAGUAUGGAGUAUGAAGAUCGAAGUGCUCGCUGAACAUCUAUACCGAGCAUGACCGACUUCGAGUAAAGCAUAAUAACGGAAUGGCGAAAUAUUAGCAACCGACCGAAGAUCUCGGCGGAAAUCCCGGAACAUAUCGAAUCAAGCGGUUAUUGACGCCAAUCAUGGGAUCUGUUUUUGUUAUUAGAAUUGUACCUUAUUUAGGAUUCCUAUACUAUAUAAAGAGGGACCCUAUUUAUUUGUAAGGGGCAUUGAUUCACUGAUAAAGAUAUACAAAGCUGCUCUCUAUUUUACUUACUAUCCAUUACAGUUCAUCAUUGUUUAUCUUUUGCUCUUUAGUGCUCUUCUUACCCAACCUCGAGACCAUCCCGAAUCGAGGUCGAAAGCGCUGCUAGAAUACUGGUUUGAUUUAUUUUAGUAUUCAGAUUAUUUAUUCAAUUCCUUGUUUGUCAAUUGGUGUUGGAUAAAAUCACGUAUCCUUAAAACCACUAAAUAAGUUUAAUUGUUACUUAAAUUUUAGAGUAAACAAUGUGCAAUCCAUAGAUAGUUUAGGAAAUAAUCGAAACAACACUAAACCCAAUUCUAUUCGAUUUCCUCCUCCCAUUAAUUAUUAUCUAUCUUCAUUAUAUUUCAUAACAGAUAAUCAGCAAGAUUAGCAGGUUAAAGAAUCAUGGUGGUGAUUCCUUUUUCUAUUCUAUUGUGAGAUGAUGCAAUUCCAGAAAGCUAAUAAUAUGCCAAAAUCAAAGAUCUUUUGCAGUUUGGUAGACAAAAUAGAUCUAAAUUGUCUACACUACAAUUUUCCUAAUUUGAUAAACCAAGUCAAUUCAAAAUUUCAAUGGAGAAAUAAAAUUCGCUCAUAACCUAUAGAAACAUUACGCAAAAUAAUGAUACAACAUCAAGAUACAACUAAACUAGAUCUAAAAUAUCAUGAACACUACACUAUAAUAGCCACAAAAAUUCCUAUCAGAGUGUGAACCAGUGUGAGCUCACCAUCGCCGAUGGCAUUAACUUGUGGACUUGCUUCUGGGUUUGGCAAAAGUGCACUUGCCUCCGGAGGUGGCGUAGAGAAAAGGAAAUGGGAGUAGAUAUAAGUAACUCUCCAUGUCACUAAGAAAAAAAAAAUACAACAUAAGUAUACCAUUAGUGUCUUGAGAGAAAAAAAAAGGAACAGAGACGAAAUGAUAGUAAUAAGCUUAAUAAAGGAAAAAAAGAAUGCAACCAAUUAACUUAAUAACAGUUUGUAACUUACUCAUUGCUUUCUUAUUCGGUACCACUUUUUUUGCAUAUCUACACAUAUAUGCAAAUCUCGGUGCCUUGAGGCUAAAGCUCUUUGGCUUCCUUACUCUCCGUUUAUUGGUUCCAGCAUGACCAACUUUCAGCUGGAAGGCGCUCAAAGCGUUCCCGGGAUCUUGAAGCCAUGAUUUGAUUACGUCACUAUUGCAACAAUCUUCAAUUUGUUGUGCGGGAGGUGUAUGUGUAGUCAUGUCCACAAACAUUGGGUCCCUCUUGCAGCAAUGUUGGGUGUCCCUUCGAACCGUGAAUAAUCUCCUUUCUUGGUAGCUAGACCUCCAAGCACCCUCCAAACUAUUUCGUGUUUGGCCCAUGUCCAACCAAUUUGCCAUCUUGGUGCUUGAAUAGGAUACUUCUGAAAAUUAUAAAUGCAAAAAUCAACCUGUAGAAAAAAGUAUUCUUUGGGUCAAACAAAGCUCCAAUAAUCUCUAGAUGAUAACUUAAGCGACUAGUGAAAUUUUUAUCAUCAGAAAAUAAAUAUGAACUUCUAUGUUUGCACAAAUGUAUCCAUCUGGAGUCCAAGUCUUGAUGUCACACUUGAUGGUAAUAUUUUCAUUGGAGUCGUGUCCAUCAUAACAAUCUGCAUACAUAGAAAUAAAAUCUGAAAACUGAAAACAUACAUAAAAUAGAAUGCAAUACUUUAUGGGUAUGUCCGGGUAUUACACAAUGAAGCAACAUAAACCAAAUAGCACAAGCAAAAUUGUACAGUAAACCUGAGCAAACAGGAGGGAGCUGCCUGCUUGCGGGGCUGGUCUAGGGUUGUACCUUAAAGCGGACAAAUUUUGUAGACCGAUUCUAAUAUUUCGGACUGACCUUGAUUAAGAAGCUUGCAAUGAGGACCAGAGUUGGUGUUCCCAGUUAUAUCUGAAUUUCCAUUGGAGUCUUGUGCAUCAUAACCAUCUGCAUACAUAGAAACAACAUAAGAAAAUUGAACGCAGACAAUCCAGAUUAAGGUAAACGACAAGGAACUAUAGUUCAAAGAAGUCAAAAAUAGCUUCUAGAGUUUACCGAAUCAAUAAACAUACAAUUCAGUCAUAUGGGCAAGGCCAAAGUCAUAAGAAUUUCAAGCUAUCAUAAUUUCCAUAUACACCAUUGGUAAGAUAACAUUUACUUUAAAUAUAUUUUGCAGUGGAAGAUUUAAUAAACACCUAGAAAAAUAAACCACCUCCCUUUUUCAGUCACCCCCUUUCUGACUUCCAACUUGCGGCCAACAAGAAUGCAAUUUGCAACUAACUUUGUGCAAUACUCAGACCAAAAUUAUACAGAAACUCAAAACUCCUACAACACAAUAGCAAUGAAAGACAAAUAUGACUCUUAUCUGGAUAAACUUAUGCAAUCUUAGAGGUAGAGAGCUCAGACCAGCUAAAAUCAAAUAAUACACUCAAACACUACCAAUCCUAUAUAUCCUACAAAAGUUGUCUCAUGCGUACUCCCGAAAAAUGGCUUACACGAAUAUAAAAAAGAUAGUUAUGCCCAAACCUUAUUAACUUAUAGUAUACCAGACAACUUGCUUAUUCAGGAUAUCAACUUCAAAUCGAUUAACUUAGAAGAUGAAUCUCAAAAUCUAUAAACUUGGAUAAUAUCAUUCCGGUAUCCACCACUUGUAAGCAAAGAAUCUAUGACCGCACAAUUAAUCGCUAAAUAUUCGUGAAUCACUACCUUAAGGAAAAAAACUAUAGCUUGAAAUUCAUCAAUUAUGUGCCCAUAAUUUAAGCUAGAAAAAGCUCUCUAAAAAAAGAAUUAAAAAACAUAAUAACAUCCAAAGAACAGAGAAGAUGAAUAUAUUUUCAAAAUAACAGUCUUUUCUCUCCCAACUCAUUAUCACCUGCUUUAACCAAAAUGAUGACAUUGCUGUAAAUUUUAAAUACCCAAAAAUAUCACUGAGAUGCUACCUUACUAUUCUAUUUCACGUCACAUACAUUAUACUCAAACAAGCACACGAAAAUACUCCAGAAAAUGAUUUGUCAAGGUAUAAUACUAUCAAUGGAAAAUGAGAACUAUUUUUAUCUGUAAUAAACGUAUGCUCAAUAGAAGUGCGGGAGACAUGUUUACCCAAAGCUAAAUUUUAAUAAAGCGUAUUUUUUUUCCUUUCUUUUUGUCUAUGGUGUAGUUAUUGUACAAAACAUAAUAUUAAUAUUAACGUUAGUUUAUUUUUUACUUCCUUUUUAUCUGUAAUAUAGUUGUCAUACAAAACAUAAUAUGGAGUAUUAAUAUUUACAUUGGUAAGAAAAUUUAAGUUGAUUAGAUUUUAACCACGUAUAUGUAAUGCGUUACCUUGGAUCUUAUUGUAAAAAUAUUAUUUACCAAUGUGAAGAUUUAAGUAGCUUAAUUAAAAGUUCUAAAAUAUUUUUAUUGUUAAAAAAUAUAGAGAAUAUUUUUUUCUACUUUUAUAAAGAGUUUGUACUUUUUUUUCUCUUUUUUCAUUGUGUAAGCGAAAAUAAGGAACAACCGACGAACAAUUCAACGAAUGGAGAGGAAUUCCGAGCUGCCUGCAGUUGAUCCUCCUGACUACGUUUACGACGAAUCUGUUCUUACGUUCAGCUUGAACUAUAAUAUGCGAACAAUGUACAAAGGACUGGGGACGAAAUCCAAGCCACGCAUCAUCGUUUGAUCCCUUAAUCAACUUUUUCAUAAUCUUCUAAUUCAGAAGAGGAACAACAAACUGCAACAAUAGAUAUUGUGAUCACGAGAACACAGGAUGAGGUGUUUAUAAUUUCUAAUUCCCAUGACAAUUAUUAUCUAGUGCGAGAAACCAAUAUCACAUAUAUAGGGUUUAAAGUAGAGUACAAAUAACAAUACAAACACCUUUUCUCUUUUGUUCUACGAGUAAUGCUCAUUAGGGAUUUGUCUAGGAUUUUUCUACUUCAAUUUUUAAAUAACCAACCCUUAUGCUAAGAAACGAAUAUGUUGUCGUUAUUUAAUUCUUAUCAUAUAUAAGGUUAAAAGAACUAGAGCAGAAACAAACCAUUUUGAUCCUCUGAUCGUUUUAUUUCCAUAGCUAUAUAACCAAAAAAAAAUUAAAAUAAGCGAAUCGAAGUAAUCUGUAACAGAUCAAACCGAUAACACGUUCUUUGUGUGCAAUAAUGGAGGUUGCCUCAACAUUCUUAAAUACAAAUGUGUUAAUUACCACGUUCUUUACGUUAUUAUUAUUAUUAUUUUUGUAAAAGAUAUAUGUCAAGAAAAAUAGAAUAUUUUCUCACAUACUUUCAGAUGUUUGGUUGGUAAUCUUAUGGUAUAAUAUUCUAGCUUCGAAAAGCUUAAUUAAAGUGCUAGUCUUAUUUACAUAGCUUGGCGAAAAUGAUUGGUUAAACUUAGUGUAUACGGUCGAAAUAGAUUUCGGCCUUCGUACGAUUGAUCAAGGUCGAAACAUAAUGGAUCAAAGAAAGACUUCGUAAUAUCGAGAUGGGUUCCGAAGAUGGCACAAACAAGCUUCGGAUUCCAGGUAUAGGUCAAACACCGAGUUCGAAGUCAUCAUCGAGCUCGGGUCCGAAUCGAUCUAUGAUGAAAUGAUUUCGAGCUUAAGGGGCAGAGGCCAACCGGGACCGAGGCCGAUCGAGCUCGAGCUCAUAGACAAGAGCGGUGGCAAACACACUAAGGGAGAGAAUCUCGGCGGAAAUUAGGAAAAAGGUGAUUUAUUAUGGAUUCUCCACUAUAUAUCUGCUGCCUCGCUCUACAACCGGAUACUUUUUAUUUUUAAUUAUAUCUAAAGUAGGAUCCUCCACUAUAAAGAGGAUGGCUACAUUUCUAUAGAGGGCAGUUUUUUUUGCUUACAUUGUAAUUCAAUCACCAUACUCUCCUAUAUUCAAGGAUUAUUCUUUUAAGCAUCAUUAAUUAAUUCAUUGUGCUUAGUCCUAAAAAUUAUCUUCUCUCCAACCUUGUUUAUUUUGCAUUCUUUGCAAUCCAUAUUUGAUAUUUCUAUUUAUCCCAACGAUUUGUAUCAUGCUACAUCACAUAUCCUUAGAACUAUGUACAAAUUCAACUCUAUCCGUUUUUCGGGUAAACAGUUUGGCGCCCACCGUGGGGCUAAGGUAACAGUGGUUAUUUGAUACGAAUCUACAAAAACACACUGUUUUGCGCUUGUUUCCGAAAGUAUCUUGGAUUUUGGAUUAGCAACGACUAACUACCAAUCAAAUGGCCUCACCUAUCGAGAACGAAGCCAGUUUCCAAGAUGAAAACAACAAAUUGACACCUUGUACCGAAAGACCACUUGUUAACGCCGUUGGAGCUUGAAUCGAAGUGCCAAUAGAUAUCAAAUCGCAUGUGGUCAUUGAGGCGAACCUACAUUCUGAACCUGAAAAUAGCAUUCAUGGUGGCACUCGGUCUGCAGCUCGAGAUACCCAUAAUGUUGAGGAAAACGGCGUCAUCUUGCGUAUGAUUUUUGAAAUGUUGCAAGCUCCAUAGGUAGCAAUAGCUUAGUUGUAGAGCCAAACCCAGCUACCGAGUAGGCCGGAGCCCAGUCCACCUCGAGAAAUCGCCCACAGAACGGAGACAGCCAUAAUGAGGUCAAAUGAGCAAGAAUCGGGGACUACUCCCGAAAUUGCUAAAAUACUCGAGGAGCUCACAAAGCGAGUCGAAGCCAACGAUAAAAAAGUAAAAACAUAUAAAUCUAGGGUCGAUCAGAUCCCGGGAGCUCCACCAAUGAUAAAAGGAUUGGAUUCCAAAAUAUUCGUGCAAAAAUCUUUUCCCUCGAGCGCAACCCCAAAACCAAUCCCCAAAAAAUUUCGUAUGCCCGAAAUUCCCAAAUAUAACCGAACGACUGACCCCAAUGAACACGUCACUUCUUACACGUGUUCCAUCAAGGGCAAUGAUUUAGAAGACGAUGAAAUCGAAUCUGUGUUGUUAAAAACAUUCGGAGAGACCCUCUCGAAGGGAGCAAUGAUUUGGUAUCAUAACCUACCACCGAAUUCCAUCGACUUAUUUUCCAUGUUAGCAGAUUCUUUUGUAAAAGCACACGUCGGCGCCAUAAAAGUCACAACAAGGAAAUCAGACCUUUUCAAGGUAAGACAAAAGGAUAACGAGAUGCUGAGGGAGUUCGUAUCUCGUUUUCAAAUGGAACGAAUAGAUCUGCCACCAGUCACAGACGAUUGGGUUGUUCAGGCUUUCACUCAAGGUUUGAACGAACGAAGUUCGACGGCUUCACGACGGUUGAAGCAUAACCUGAUCAAAUACCCAGCCAUCAUAUAGGCCGACGUGCACAAUCGGCACCAAUCAAAAAUUAGGGUCGAAGAUGAUCAGUUGGAGUCUGAACCCGCUGAUCAAAGGGAUAUUAAUCGAGAACAAGGUCCGAUCAGGGAUCGAUACCGACCGUACAAUGGAAACCACAGAAUCAGUGAAUCGAGACAUAACCCUGGACAAAAUAACAAAUGAAAUGAUCGAGGUUAAGGGUCCCGAGGGAUGAUGAACAGAAGUAGGUUCGACAAGCCUGCCGGAUCUAAGGAAGCGCCUCGGUUAUCGGAGUAUAACUUCAACAUUGAUGCAUCCGCAAUUGUGUCGGCUAUCGAACACAUCAAAGACACUAAAUGGCCUCGACCCAUAGGCAACUAAGAGAGGAGGUAGCUCGGUUAUUCAACAAAGGGCACCUUAGAGAAUUUUUAAGCGAUAGGGCGAAGAACCAUUUUAUAAACAGGGAUUUCGGCAAGCAAAACGAACAAGAAGAACCACAGCACGUCAUUCACAUGAUCAUCGGUGGCGCCGAUACCCCUCAGGCACCGGUGCUUAAACGCACUAAGACAUCGAUUGUGAGAGAAAAACGAUCUCGAACUCAGGAUUACGCACACAUAGGAACUUUGUCCUUCAAUGAUGAAGAUGCAAAAUGAGUCAUACAACCUCAUAAUGAUGCACUGGUAAUAUCCGUACUUAUGAAUAAAACUAAAGUUAAGCGUGUGUUAAUUGAUCCAGGUAGCUCGGCCAAUAUCAUUAGAUUGAAGGUCGUAGAACAACUCGAUCUACAGGACCAGGUCGUACCCGCAACCUUAGUACUAAACAGAUUCAAUAUGGCAUGUGAAACCACCAAAGGAGAGAUAAUUCUACCGAUAAAUGUGGCCGGGACCUUCCAGGAAAUGAUGUUCCACGUAAUCGAAGGCGACAUGAGGUACAACGCCCUUUUUGGAAGGCCAUGAAUCCAUAACAUGGGAGUUGUAUCUUCGACCCUACUCCAUGUCCUUAAAUUCCCAACAUUGAGGGGAGUCAAAAAUAGUGUACGGAAAAUAACCGGACGCAAGUGAAAUGUUUGAUGUCGAGGAAGCGAAUCCAAUAUCCUCAUCUUCGCCAAUAAAGGGAUCGGGCUAAAAAGGGGAACGAGAUACCAAAUAGCAAUCACAGACAUCAGCUUUAACCCGACUAGAUAAUCAGAAGAUCGAUGAAGAUGAUGAUCAAAGGAUCCCCGAUCCUUCGUGGUUCCCGAUGAUUUUGACGCUACCAAAUCAACGAUUGAGGAGUUGGAUCAAGUCACACUAAUCGAGCACUGUCCCGAAUGGAAGGUAUACCUGGGAACGGGGUUAACCCCCGAACUCAGAAAAAAACUUAUUCAACUUUUUAUCGAUAACGUAGAUUGUUUUGCCUGGUCCCAUUUGGAUAUAACAGGGAUCCCACCGGAUAUAACGACACAUCGGCUAAGCUUGGACCCUAGGUUUAGAUCGGUGAAGCAAAAGAGAAGACCCCAGUCUGAGGUAAAGCACACAUUCAUAAAGGACGAGGUAACCAAACUUCUCAAAAUAGGGUCCAUUCGGGAGGUGAAAUAUCCCGAAUUGUUAGCCAAUGUAGUUGUAGUGCCUAAAAAAGGGAACAAACUUAGAAUGUGUGUAGAUUAUAAGGAUUUGAACAAAGCAUGCCCCAAAGAUUCCUUUCUGCUGCCCAACAUCGAUCGCAUGAUCGAUGCCAUGACCGGCCACAAGAUCCUUACUUUUCUCGAUGCCUAUUCCGGGUAUAAUCAGAUCCAAAUGAACCCGGAAGACCAGGAAAAGACUUCAUUUGUCACCAAGUAAGGAACAUAUUGUUAUAAUGUGAUGCCAUUCGGGCUAAAAAAAUGUAGGAGCUACUUACCAACGCAUAGUAAAUAAGAUGUUCGAGGAACAAAUAGGUAAAUCAAUGGAAGUUUAUAUUGAUGACAUGCUAGUUAAGUCCCUACACGCAGAGGACCAUUUGACCCAUUUGCAGGAAACAUUCGAGAUUUUAAAAAAAUACAACAUGAAGCUCAACUCGAGAAAUGUGCUUUCGGAGCCGGUUCGGGCAAAUUCCUUGGGUUCAUGGUAUCAAAUUGGGGGAUCGAGAUUAACCCCAAUAAAAUCAAGGCCAUCUAAGACAUCACCAUCAUGGACAGCGUGAAAGUCGUACAGAGGCUAACGGGACAGAUUGUAGCCUUAGACCGAUUCACUUCGAGGUCGUCAAAUCGAAGUCACAAGUUUUUCUCUCUACUCAAAAAGAAGAACGAUUUCGCUUGGACCCUGGAAUGCCAACAGACAUUAGAGGAAUUAAAACGGUAUCUAUCGAGCCCACCACUGCUUUAUACUCCAAAAACAGACGAAAAACCUUUCUUGUACUUGGUAGUGUCGGAAAUCGCGGUAAGCGGUGUCCUAGUUCGAGAAGAGCAAGGUACGUAAUUUUCCAUUUAUUUUGUGAGUCGAGCCUUAGGAGAAGCAGAAACUAGAUAUUUGCACCUAGAAAAAUUGGCACUUGCACUAAUAAGCGCCUCUAGAAAGUUUAGACCGUACUUUUAAUGUCACCCCAUAUACGUAUUAACCACUUACCUGCUUCGUAAUAUUUUGCACAAGCUCGAACUAUUAGACCGAUUGGCUAAAUGGGCCGUCGAACUCAGUGGGUACGAUAUCGAAUAUCAACCUCGUACGGCCAACAAGUCUCAAAUUGUAGCGGUCUUCGUGGCCGAUUUCACGCUGACCCUCAUACCCGAAGUCGAAAAAGAACUCUUAUUGAAAUUGGGUACGUCAUCAGGGGUAUGGACCCUUUUUACGGAUGGGGAUUCGAAUGUGAAAGGGUCCGGACUAGGCAUCGCUUUAAAGCCACCCACGGGUAACACUAUUAGGCAAUCUAUCAAAACUACCAGGUUGACUAACAACGAGGCCGAGUAUGAGGCCAUGAUUGCAGGUCUCGUGCUAGCUAAAAUCUUGGGAGAAAAAGUCAUUGUAGCCAAGUGUGACUCUUUGCUGGUGGUAAAUAAAGUAAACAAAACCUUCGAAGUUCGAGAAGAUAGAAUGCAAAGGUAUUUGGACAAACUGCAGGUCACUUUGCACCAUUUCAAAGAAUGGACUUUACAGCAUGUUCCACGAGAGCAAAAUUGUGAGGCUGAUGCACUUGUAAAUUUGGGAUCAUCGGUCGAGGAAGGCGAGAUAAGCUCAGGGACUGUCGUUCAACUCUCGAUAUCCAUGAUCAAAGAAGGUCAUACCGAGAUAAAUUCUACGAGCUUAACCUGGGCUUAGAGGAAUAAGUAUAUUGAGUACUUAAAGAAUGGAAAGCUCUCAUUGGACCCUAAAAAUUCGAGGGCCCUACGAACCAAAGCUGCUCGAUUCACAUUAACUGCAUAUGGAACGCUAUACCGAAGGAUAUUCGAUGGACCAUUGGCAGUAUGCUUAGGUCCAGGAGACACCUAUUACAUCCUACGUGAGGUGCACGAGGGCACUUGUGGAAAUCACUCCGGUAUUGAUUCAUUAGUCCGAAAAAUAAUCAAGACAGGGUAUUAUUGGAUCGAUAUGGGAAAAGAUGCAAAGGAGUUUGUUCGAAAUGUGACAAAUGUCAAAGGUUUUCACCAAUAAUCCAUCAGCCCGGCGAGCAACUUCACUCAGUCUUAUCCUCAUGUCCAUUCAUGAAAUUGCGAAUGGAUAUCGUCGGCCCUAUGCCAUCAGCCCCAGGUAAAGCUAAGUUUAUUUUAUUUAUGAUUGACUAUUUCUAUAAAUGGUUUGAAGCACAAGCAUUCGUGAAAGUAAGAGAGAAAGAGGUUAUAGACUUUAUCUGGGAUCAUAUCGAAUGUCGAUUUGGGAUACCCACCAAAAUAGUGUGUGACAAAGGGAAAUACUUUGUCGGCAGCAAAGUGACAAAAUUCUUUGAAGACCACAAAAUAAAAAGGAUAUUAUCAACACCGUAUCACCCCAGUGGGAACGGACAGGCCGAAUCAACGAACAAAACUAUGAUUCAAAACCUAAAGAAGAGGCACAACAAUGCUAAAGGAAAAUGGAGAGAAAUCCUACCCGAAGUCCUUUGGGCAUAUCGAACAACAUCAAAAUCUAAUAUGGGGGCAACCCUGUUCUCCUUAGUAUAUGGCUUUGAAGCCUUGAUUCCAGUCGAAGUCGGGGAACCCAGUGCCAGGUUUCAAUAUACAAUAGAAGAGUCAAAUAAUGAGGCUAUGAACACUAGCCUUGAAUUAUCGGAUGAAAAACGAGAAGCUGCUCUCGUCCAAUUGGCCGCCUAAAAGCAGCGAAUCGAAAGAUACUAUAAUCGAAGAACCAAGCUUCUCCAUUUUAAACUCGGGGACUUAGUGCUAAGAAAAGUCACCCUCGAUACCCGAAAUCCAAAUGAAGUAAAACUAGGACCGAACUGGGAAGGACCGUAUCAGGUUCUCGAAAACAUCGGAAAAGGAUCAUACAAGCUCGGUAUUAUAAAAGGCAAACAACUAUCAAGCAAUUGGAAUGUGUCGCACCUAAAACGAUACUACUGCUAAGGUACGACCCUCCCAUAUUCGUUUAUAUUUCAAAACUAACCCCUGCAGGAGUCCGAUCAAGAGCUAGGAUGGAUCCUUUAAUACGAAGCCCUAGGUCUGAAAGCACGCGUUGCACUCUUUUUUCCUUAGACCGGUUUUAUCCCAAAUGGGUUUUUCAGCAAUAUUUUUAAUGAAGCAACCAAUAAUCGUGCUAUACUUAGAAACAAUUCGAGAGUAUCCGAGGCUUCUUUACAAUCGACCUCAAAUACUGGGGGGCAUUAGCCCUCAAAUAUAUCAAGUUCUGAUGCAAGAAAUUUAUUUCGUAACAACAGGGUUCCAAUAGGAAAAGGUGUAAGAGCCAAAUGGUCAAAACGAACCAUGAUCAUGUAGUUGGACUGAUCCAUGACACAAAACAUGAACACAUGUAUAAUGACUUGCAAAGAAAGUUCUCUUCUUUACCGAUAUCUUAUAUCCAAGAAAAAUUCUUCUAUUUCAAGAUUUAUUAUGCAAACGGGAUUGAGUUCGAGCAAGCACUCACUCGACUAUUACGCCUAUGGACUACUCUUAUUCCAAGUUCGAACAAGCACUUACUCGACCAUUACGCCUACGGGCUAUAUUAUUUCAAAUUCGAAAUAUUCACUCAACUAAUAAGCCUACGGGCUAUUCUUAUUUCGAGUUCGAGCAAGCACUCACUCAACUAUUAUGCCUACGGGCUACAUUACUUCGAGUUCGAAUCAUUCACUCAACUAAUAAGCCUACAUGCUACUCUUAUUCUGAGUUCGAGCAAGCACUCACUCGGCCAUUACGCCUACGAGCUACAUUACUUCGAGUUCGAAACAUUCACUCGACUAAUAAGCCUACGAGCUACAUUACUUCGAGUUCGAAAACAUUCACUCGACUAUUACGCCUACAUGAUAUAUUACUUCAAGUUCGAAUCAUUCACUAGACCAUUAAGCCUACGGGCUACAUUACUUCGAGUUCGAAACAUUCACUCGACUAAUGAGCCUAUGGGCUACUCUUAUUCCACGUUCAAGCAAGCACUCACUCGACCAUUACGCCUACGGGCUACAUUACUUAGAGUUCGAAACAUUCACUCGACUAAUAAGCAUACGGGCUAUUCUUAUUCCGAGUUCUAACAAACACUCACUCGACCAUUACGCCUAUGGGCUACAUUACUUAGAGUUCGAAACAUUCACUCGACUACUAAGCCUACGGGCUACAUUACUUCGAGUUCAAAAACAUUCACUCGACUAUUACACCUACGAGCUACAUUACUUCGAGUUCGAAUCAUUCACUCGACCAUUAAUCCUACGGGCUACAUUACUUCGAGUUCUAAACAUUCACUCGACUAUUAAGCCUACGGGCUACAUUACUUUGAGUUCGAAUCAUUCACUCGACUACUAAGCCUACGAGCUAUUUUUAUUUUGAGUUCGUUCAAGCACUCAUUCGACUAUUACGCCUACGGGCUAUAUUACUUCGAGUUCGAAUCACUCACUCAACUAAUAAGCCUAAGGACUGCAUCAUACUUUAAGUUCAAACAAUCAGUCAACUCGAUUACUAAGCUUAUGGGCUACCUUANNNNNNNNNNNNNNNNNNNNNNNNNNNNNNNNNNNNNNNNNNNNNNNNNNNNNNNNNNNNNNNNNNNNNNNNNNNNNNNNNNNNNNNNNNNNNNNNNNNNNNNNNNNNNNNNNNNNNNNNNNNNNNNNNNNNNNNNNNNNNNNNNNNNNNNNNNNNNNNNNNNNNNNNNNNNNNNNNNNNNNNNNNNNNNNNNNNNNNNNNNNNNNNNNNNNNNNNNNNNNNNNNNNNNNNNNNNNNNNNNNNNNNNNNNNNNNNNNNNNNNNNNNNNNNNNNNNNNNNNNNNNNNNNNNNNNNNNNNNNNNNNNNNNNNNNNNNNNNNNNNNNCCUCCGGGAGAGGUCUCUUCUCCACCGGGCUCCCCCCCCCCCACUUCUCUGACCCGCUCUUACUCUCACCAUCAUCAUCAUUAUCAUCAUCGUCGUCAUCAGAAGCCAAGGCUUAAGCGUCGGCUUCGAGUUCUUUGGCCAUUUUUAUCUCUUCAACGAGGUCGAAACCUCGAGCAUGGAUCUCCUCGGGGGUCUCCCUCCGGAAUAGGCACUUAGCAAGUUCAACGACCCAAUGUGCUCGAGUAUCGGCGGUCUUGGCUGCCUCUCUUGCUUGGACUUGGGUAGCUUCAGCAUCGUCCUGAUAGAUGGCCACGAGUGUAUCCGCAUCAGCCUUUGCCUUUUUAGCAUCAUAUUCGGCCUUGGCAGGUCCAGAGGCCAACCGAGCCUCAAGCUCCUUUAUUCUUCUUGCUUGAACCGAGCCUUUCUCCUUCAUACUUUGAAGUUGGUUUUCGGUCGAUGAUAAUUGGUCUCGAGCAGCUUUUUUCUGUGCAGCAAAGCAGUCCAUACCUUCUUUCCACUUCAAAGACUCCGCUUUUAUCACAUCAACCUCCUCACGGAGUUUCCCGAUCAUCUCAAUUUUCUGCUGCGGCUAUGAGACCAAAAAAUUAGCCAUCAUUCUGGUAUUGAGCCCAUAGGCUUUUAAAAGUAUCAUUACCUGCUCGGACAGGUCGGCCUGAUCUUGGUUAGCCUUGGCCAACUCAGCCCGGAUGUCUUUUAUUUCCUCUCCCAUUUCCCUAAGAGGAGUUUAAGGGAGUUCCUCUCCUCCGUAACCCGUUGAAGAUCGGCAUCAUUUCGACGCAGCUCGGUUCGGGACCGAGAACAUGCUUCUUGAUGAACUGUCGCAGCCUGCAAAGAAAGAAGAAACGAAGUUAGAAAAGAAAAGCAAACAUAAAGGUAAUGCUAACAAAAUAAUUUAAGGCUUACCUGAUUCAAAGCCUGCUGCACUGCGUAAAAAAGAUCUGAUGCGUCACUUGUACCGAUAGCAUCCUCGACACCGGUAAACAGGUCACGAAAAGGAUCCCUUCUAUCAUGAGGCAUGUUUAGUUCGAGGGCCCCAAAAGCUUGGGCUUCCUGAAUCGCCUCUACGAAAAAAGAAGGGAAGGUGGGCGAGUCUUCGAUUUCUACUGCCCCAAGUGAAUCACUUGGAGCAUUCUCUUCGGUUCGAAGACAUUCGGGGAGAGCCCCUUCAGACAUAUCCCCCAUUCGUUGGAUUUGAUGGGAAGCAUCUUCGAUCUCCAACAACUCCGGGACUCCGCCGGAAUCUUUCUCCGAUAUAUCCUCAAUCUGAGGCAGAGCCUUAUGAACCACCAUUGAUCUAGCUACCUGUGGAACGUCGGUGGUCUUCUUCAUUCUGGCCGCCAGCGCGAACCCAUCAUUUUUUUUUCUUCUUCGUCUUCAUCCCUUAGACGCAGAACUGAUUCUACGAUCAAAGGAAUGGUAUUCUUGUUCGGCUUACGAGCCGUCCUCUUCUUUUGUUUUGGAUCUUAGGGAGUGGAGGCUAUUUUCCUCUUAUUAUCUUUCACCGGCUUUGGGACAGAGGCCGAAGCCUCUUCCUCAAUGGACGAGGGCCUAAAAACCGCAUAUUUGCCCACACAUACAUAUGGAAAGUUUCAUUGAAGUAUAUAGAAAGAAUCUCGUUCGAACUACCAAAAGGUAUGAGGAAGGGGCUUACCAUGAUUUUUGGCCUCCUAUCGGCCCUUUGACAAAUCACGCCAUGAGCGCUCGGCGUAUGUGGAGGUCAAAGCCAGAGCUCGUACCCAGUUCUUGAGAUCGGGAACUGCUCUAGGCAUUUAGUGAACCACUGCAUCACAAAAAGAGGAAUAUCAAUGAGAAAAAAAAUAGAAAGGUAAAAUAUAAAUAAGUAACAACAGAAUUACACUUACGUUUCAUAUUCCACUCCUCGGGAAAAGGCAUCUUUUCAGUCGGAAUCAGGUCCGAAGUCUUUACUCGAACGAACGUGCCCAUCCAGCCUCAUUCCAUGUCCUCGUCUAUGCUCGAGAAAAGAGCCUUGGUAGCCCGACGCUGAAGUUUUAUUAACCCUCCUCGAAAAAGGCGAGGACGGUAUAAUCGGAUGAGGUGGUCGAGGGUGAACGACAUCCCCUUGAUUUUGUUCACAAAGUAUCGAAUCAAAAUAACGAUCCGCCAAAAAGAAGGAUGGACCUGGCCUAGGGUUAUUUGGUAUUAUCGGCAGAAGUCAAUAAUAACAGAGUCGAGGGGACCUAACAUGAAAGGUUAAGUAUACACACUUAAAAUCCCUUUCACGUAAGUGGUGAUAUCUUCGUCAGAAGAAGGGAUUAUUAUUUAUUUGUUCUCCCAAUUGCAAUCUUUCUAUAGCUAUUUAAGGUGCCUCUCGGUCAUCGAACACAUGUACUUCGAUACUGGCUCUCAUCGGCUGGGAACCGAUGAGACUUUAUCGACCUUAAAAUCAGAGGUAAGAACACACGCCCCAGGAACGUACUCCUCAGGCCGUGGCUCUACCGGUGUUUCGUCGGCGGCAGACUGUGAAGAUGAAGCUUUCUCUUUCUGAGGAAUAGUUUGUGAUGUUUUCACCAUUUUCGAAUUUAAAGGUCGAGAAUAAAAGAAAGUAACAAAGAUUUGGUAAUUUUGAAGAAGGGCUUUUGCAAAGAGGAAUCACAUAUUUGUGAAUAAACUCAGAGGAUACAAAAAACAACUUGGGAAAUUUGGAAGAUUGAAGAUGUAAAAGUGAUAAAUGCUAAAAGGAAGGGCUAUUUAUAGAUUAAAGCAAUGACGGUUCGGUAUCAGCGGUGGCCGACCACCGUCUGACAUGCAUUAAAUGCCUUGAAAAACUAAAUCGAUGGUACAGUUAUCACAUGCGUCAUGAUCGAGCCCAAUGUAAACGCCAGCUUAUAAUCCAAUCGAGCCAUUAAAAAAUCAUAUUUUUUAUCACCACAUCCUUCCCGAUAAACGAGGGGACUAUCUAUAUACGGUCAAAAUAGAUUCCGGCCUUCGUACGAUUGAUCGAGGUCUAAACAUAAUGGAUCGAAGAAAGACUUCGUAAUAUCGAGAUGGGUUCCGAAGAUGGUACAAACAAGCUUCGGAAUUUAGGUAUAGGUCAAUCACCGAGUUCGAAGUCAUCAUCGAUCUCGGGUCCGAAUCGAACUAUGAUGAGAUGAUUUCGAGCUUAAGGGGCAGAGGCCAACCGGGACCAAGUCCGAAUCAUCACCUGAUCCCGAGUCCAUAUCGAGCUCCAUAAGCACUAACGACCAGCACUGAGGCCGAUCAAGCUCGAGCUCACAGACAAGAGCCGUUGCAAACACACUAAGGGAGAGAAUCUCGGCGGAAAUUAGGGAAAAGCUAAUUUAUCAUGGAUUCUCUACUAUGUAUUUUUAAAUAUAUCUAAAAUAGGAUCCUCCACUAUAAAGAGGAUGGCUACAUUUCUGUAGAGGGCAAUUGUUUUUUUGCUUACAUUGUAAUUCAAGCACCAUACUCUUCUAUAUUCAAGGAUUAUUCUUUUAAGCUUCAUUAAUUGAUUCAUUAUGCUUAGUCCUAAAAAUCAUCUUCUCUCCAAUCUUGUUUAUUUUGCAUUCUUUUCAAUCCAUAUUUGAUAUUUUUAUUUAUCCCAAUGAUUUGUAUCAUGCUACAUCACAUAUCCUUAGAACUACGUACAAAUUUAACUCUAUCCGUUUUUCGAGUAAACACUUAGUAUAUUAUUAAUUAGUUUCUUAAAAGAUGAAUUCAUAUCUCUCUUUUUUAUAAAUAAAAAAAAUAUUACACAUAGGUGGAAGGGGAAAGUGGAGGUGGAAAUUACGAGGUGGUGAAUCGAACUAUCACGAACAAGGUCAAAAUUAAGAUAGCCAACAAAGUUGUUGAGUAUCGAGAUUUUGAUAAUUAAUAAAGUUUGUUUAAAUGCAAUGAUUCAAAGAAACAGGUCCUCAACGUAGCUGCUUAACUGUUCUAAGAACCACCUCCUCAGGGUAAAGGACCAGCUCUUCUGGUUGAUGAUUGUACGUCUGUGCAAGACAGUAACUUUAUCUCAAAGUUAUCCAGGUCCGAGUUUGGUGGAAGAAGGCUACUACAUGUGAUAAGGGUUGUUGCCCAAGAAGAUAUGAAUAAUUCAGUUUGAGACAAGAGUCCCAAAACUUGUGGAGUCCUUGGAACAGUAGGAGUUCUAUCAAAGGAAAGGUUGACUAUGCAUAGGACUCCUAGAAGAUCCCAAAGUCCAGGCGUUUAAAUACUAUAUACUUUGGACUUUUGAUUUGAUCCUUCACACAUCAAUUGGAGAAUUAUUUGUUGUCCACUCUAGUCGAGUACCAGUAAUGUGUUAUUCUUGAGUCAGUCUAGUGAAUGUAUUUUAGGAAAUUGAGCUGUAAUCAAGUAUCACAAACAAUUAUUGAGUUGGAGUAAGUAUUUGCUUUACAAGUUAGAGUAACUUGUAAAUCAAAUAGUCGUUGUAGGAGUACUGGAGAGUAUUGAAUUACAGUCUUGUAAUUGAUAUAUUUUGGCUCAUUGUUCUAGUGGAGUUGAAGCUAAAAAUCAUACGUAGUAGGACGUGGUUUUUGUGCCUUUUAAGCCGGGAGAUUUUUCACGUAAAAAUCGAUGUGUUUACUUUACGCUUACUUUACUUAAAGUUUAAGGAACAUGGUAAAGAACCAAGUUCUUUAGUAAAUUAUACGGCCACUUAAACUAACAAUUGGUAUCAGAGUAGGUUCUCUCACACACACUGCUAGAACCUAGAGAGAUCUUGGAGGUAAGAUGAGUGUUCUAUGUGGAAUUAAUGAAGCACAAUCAACUACCAGACCACCCAUGUUCAAUGAAAAAUAUUACAGUUGGUAGAAAGCAAGAAUGAAAGACUUCCUGACAGCUGAAUACUAUGAACUAUGGACCAUAGUGAAGAAAUGUCCAUUUACUCAUACUAAACAAAAUGCACAAAAUGAAACAGUUCCUAACGACCCUUCUGAAUUUGUGGCAGCAGAUUUCAGAAUGAUGGAGAAAAAUGCAAAGGCUAAGAAAGUUCUUAUCUGUGGACUUGGUCCUGAUGAGUACAGUAGAAUCUCUAUGUGCUCUAACGCAAAGAAGAUAUGAGAUGCACUCCAAACUACUCAUGAAGGAACAAACCAAGUGAAGAGAUCAAGGAUAGAACUACUUAUAAGAAAAUCCUUCGAUAUCCUCCACUGUACCUACAUCAAUCAUUCCCUAUUCUUGCUACUCUCACCAUCCCCACCUCCACUGCACCCCCACUUCCAAAACCAACCACCAAUGUAUCUAUGCCUAUUGCGAAAAUACCUCUAAGUCAACCAAGGUCAACGAUACUCCAAGAAAAUCUGUCAAGAAUGUCAAGGUAGUGUCGGAUGCUACUACUCAAGUAGACACAGUGGUCAAGGAAGUUCAUGGGAAUCAUUUCCAGUCACUACUAGUCAUGUAAAAAUCCCUCCUUCAAAUUUAUAUAUUUUCGUAUCUGCUAUAGAUGUUGCACCCUUAGACACUCUCCCACACACAAGUGAGAAACCACAAGUGGAGGAAUUCACUGUAGAAAACGAUGCAGACAAUCUGGGGAAAGAGGUAGAUACCACUAUUGUGGUGCCUCUGGUUGAGGGGAAAAGAGGUAAAGAACCAGUACAAAAGAAGGCAUCUGAUGAUCUUUCAUUUAGUUGGACGGAGGAUGAGGAUGAUAAUAGGGGUGAAAAGGAUGAAGGAGUUGUGGACAAUCAUGAGAAGCAUAAUGCUCAAGACAUAUCUAAUGAAGAAGAAAAGAGUGAGAAUGAGGGAGAUUAUGUAGAAGAAAAGGGGAGUGAUACAGAUGAUAGGAUAGGUGAACAAGUAAAUGAUUCUGCAGAAGAAGAAAAUAAUAGUGAAGAAGAACGUAAUUCUGAGAGCUAGGGUGAGAAUCAAGAAAAAUUAAGUGAGAGUGAAUGAGUGAAUGAAGAAAGUGAGGAAGAGAAUGGGAAUAUGAGUGAGGAAUCUGAAGGCUUUAUGACCAUUGGGAAUACUGUCAUACCCCAUUCAGAAGAAACUAGUGAAGAGAAAAGGACUCGAGAACUUGGGACUUUGUUAACUCUUUUCAGUGGAGAUGAAGAGGUUAGCAGUGAUGAAGAUGACUUGCCAUUGUCUGAGGUAAGGAAGAAACCCAGGAAGACUCUUGUGAAAGCAAUAAAGUUAGCAGUUCCAACAAGGAAAGAAGUGGCUCCUUGUGCCAGGACUCCUCUUAAAAGGAGUAAAAGAAAGGAUGAUGAUGAAAAAAUCAUUAAGGAGUCAAGAAGUGCCAAGAAGCCAAGGAAGAAAGUUUCAAUUAUGGAAAGUUUAUUUAAAUGCAAUAAUUCAAAUAACCAGGUCCUCAAUGUAGCUGCUUAACUGUUCUUAGAACCAACUCCUCAGGGUAAAGGAUCAGCUCUUUUGGUUGAUGAUUGUACGUCUGUGCAAGACAGUAACUUUAUCUCAAAGUUACCAGGUCCGAGUUUGGUGGAAGAAAGUUGCUACAUGUGAUAAGGGUUGUUACCCAAGAAGAUACGAAUAAUUCAGUUUGAGACAAGAGUCCCAAAACUUGUGGAGUCCUUGGAACAGUAAGAGUCCUAUCAAAGGAGAAGCUCACUAUGCAUAGUACUCCUAGAAGAUCCCAACGCCCAGGCGUUUAAAUACUAUCUAAUUUGGACUUUUGAUUUGAUCCUUCACAUAUUAACUAAAGAAUUAUAUAUUGUUCAAUGUAGUCGAGCACUAGCAUUGUAUUCUUCCUGAAUCAGUCUAGUGAAUAUGUUUUAGUAAAUUGAGUUGUAAUCAACUGUUACAAACAAUUACUGAGUUGGAGUGAGUAUUUGAUUUACAAGUUAAAGUAACUUUUAAAUCAAAUAAUCGUAGUAGGAGUACUUGAGAGUAUUGAAUUACAGUUUUGUAAUUGAUACAUUUUGGCUCCUUGUUCUAGUGGAGUUGAAGUUAGUUAAUAUUUCUCACGGACAAAUAAAAAUAAAUUUAAUUUUUUUAUUAGAGAUUAAAUAGGGUGACUUGAAAUACUUAAACCCAAUUUCAAAUAGCAACUCUUAAGCAAAUAAAAUAAUUUCUAUUCAAAACCGUCACUUCAAAUGAAAAAUCCUUUAACCAUUUAAUUCCUUGUAAACGAGGAAUCUCCUUGAAGGCCAGAGAAAAUUUUUCUUGUUAAAGAAUUCACACAAAAAAUCCAAAAUGAUGGCAAACAUUAUUGUACGUGUGUUCCUUUUCCAUUUUUACAUUGUUUAUUAUUUUUCCAGUUCUCUCGCUAUAACCAUUCAAGAAAAGCUUGCGCAUUUUGAACCUAAACAAAAUUUCACUAGCAAUAUGACAUCGAUGACCCACGAAGUGCCUUUUCGCACCGACCUAAUCAUGGUUUCGUUAUUAAUAUUUCAAUUGGUUAGUUUUUUGUCUACAUGAUGGUACUGAUAGGCAUGUGUAUUAAUAUAUUUUGGAUUCAGUGAUACCCAUGUGUCAUAUCCGUAAAAUCGAGGGUAAAUUUAUGUUUCGAAAACUCUAGCAAUGAGUCCUCAUUUUCAAGGCCAAUUUAAACUCUUUGGAUUCAACCUUUAAUGCCCUAGCAUUGACAUCACUGUAUUUUUAAAAUUAUGGGUUCAGACUAAAGUUGUAUAAAAAAAACCGACAAACCAUGUCGAACCGAUAAAUCGAGUCAAACCUUGAAAAAAGUAUUGAAUCAGAUAAACCUAAUGUCACAACGUUACAUCCGCCUCUUCUCAUCUUGGCCAUGGAUGCAAUGGAUAAUAUUUUUUUACUCCCCCGUCUCCCUUCUCACCUCAGAGGAUCUAGUUAUUAUUUUCUUAAUUUAGAGAGGUGAAAUAAAAUUUUCUCUUACAAGUAAGGAUGCAUUUUUUUCUUGCACACCAUUUUGCAAAAUCGUCUGGCAAUUCUUUUAUGAAAGGGCAAGUUACGAAUAAUAAAAAUUAGGAGCAUUGUAGUAAUAGUUGGAAAAAACGGUAACAAUAUGUUCGUAUUACGAAAUCUAAGAGAACGACAAUAUUAAGUGAGAACUGUAACAUUAUGUGUUCAUCUAAAUCGAGUCAAACCGAUGAAUAUGAAUCGAGUCAAAUGAAGUCAAGUUUAGACACAAAGAGUUAACAUUAAGAUAGAACAUCAGAAAAUCUAGAGAAAGGAAUAUAUAAAAUCCGAGUUGCUGAAGCUGAAACAACUGCAUUUGAAGUAACAAAAAGAAAAGCAUAAAUUAUUGUGUGUGGGGAGGGGGGGGGGGUUCGAGUCAAAAGGAGGAUUUCCUCAUGAAUUGCAUGAGACUUUCAUCUCACACGACUCCUAAGUUAUAAAUUUCCUCAUUUACCUGCAUGAGACUUUCAUCUCACAUGACUCUUAAGUGAUAAAUUUCCUUCUUUAAUAGGAGUAUGUAUUACUAUCAAAGACAACAAUCUCUAUAUUCUCAUUCUCAAAUUUAAGACCAUCCGCUGGCAAAUCCAACAAUUUCUUGGCUUGAAUCUUGUUCAAUCCAUAAACACGUGCAAUCCAUAGCAGUUUAGGAAUUAAUCGAAACAACUCUAAACCUAAUUUUUCUCGAUUUCCUCUUCCCAUUAAUAUAUAUCUCUCUUCAUUCUAUUUUUUAACCGAUAAUCAGUAAGAUUAGCAAGUUAAAGAACCAUGUGGUGAUCCAUUUUUCUAUUCCAUUGAGAUGAUGCAAUUUCAGAAAACUAGUCAUAUGCCAAAAUCAAAUAUAUUUCGCAGUUUGGUAGACAAUAUAUAUCCAGGUUAUCUACACCACAAUUUUCCUAAUUUGAUAAACCAAGUCAAUUUAAAACUUCGAUGGAGAAAUAAAAAUUUGCCCAUAACCUAUAGAAACAAUACGCAGAAUAAUGAUACAAUAUCAAAAUACAACUGAACUAGAUAUAAAAUAUCAUGUGCACUAAAAGAAUGAAAAGUCACACUAUAACAGCCACCAAAACACCUAUCAGAGUGUGAACCAGUGUGAGCUCAACGUCACUGAGGGUAGUAACAUGUGGACUUGCUUCUGGAUUUGGCACAUGUGAACUUGCCUCCGGAUGUGGCGUAAAGAAAAGGGAAGUAGAUACAAGUGACUCUCCAUGUCACUGAGGAAACAAAAAUAUAACAUAAUUAUACCAUUAGUGUCUUGAGAUACAUAAAGGAACAAAGACGAAAUAAUAAUAAUAAGAUUAAUAGGGAAAAAAAGAAUGCAACCAAUUAGCUUAAUUACGGUUUGUAAUUUACUCAAUGUUUUCUUGAUCGGUUCCACCUUUGUUUGCAUCUCUACACAUAUAUGCAAGUUGCAGUGCCUUGAGACUAAAACUCUUUGGCUUACUCACUCUCCGUUUGCUGGUCCAGCAUGACCAACUUUCAGCUAGAAGGCGCUCAAAGCGUUCCUUGGAUCUUGAAGCCAUGAUUUAAUUACGCCACCUUUGCAACAAUUUUCAAUUUGUUGCUCGGGAGGUGUUUGUGGAGUCAUGUCCACAAACGUUGGGUUCUUCUUGCAGCAAUAUGGGUUUUUCCCUUUGAACCAUGAACAAUCACCUUUCUCACUAGCUAGACCUCCAAGCACACUUCAAAUUAUUUCGUGUUUGGUCUAUGUCCAACCCAGUUGCCAUCCUAGUGCUUGAAUAGGAUACUUCUGGAAAUUGUAGAUGGAAACAACAACCUAUAAAAAAACACUCUUUGUGUCAAACAAAACUCCAAUAAACUCUGGAUGAUAACUUAAGCUAAUAAUGAAGUUGUUAUCAUCAGAAAAAAGAAACCCGAGUUUCUAUGUUUGCACAAAUGCAAAUUGAUGGGGAGGUCAUGACUUUUGAGAAAAAAGUGUCAUGUUCUAUUUCAGUAAAAGUUAAAAAGGAAAAGAUAUCCAUAUGAUUUAUCUUUGAGGAGUGAGGGGUCAAAUUUAAAUCCUUGAAUGAUGUCAGGCAAUAAUACAUGUUGGUAAACGCGGAAAAAGCUCACAAUGUAUCCAUCUGGAGUCCAAGUCUUGAUAUCCCACUUGAUGGUAAUAUUUCCAUUGGAGUCGUGUCCAUCAUAACAAUCUGUAUACACAGAAACAAAAUUUGAAAAUUGAACACAGAUAAUUCAAAUUAAGGUAAACGACAAGGAACUAUAGUUCAAAGGAGUCAACAAAAACUUUCUAGAGUUUUCCGAAUCAAUAAACAUACAAUUCAGUCAUAUGGGCAAGGCCAAACUCGUAAGAAUUUCAAGCCAUCAUAAUUAGUAAGAUAACAUUUACUUUAAAAUACGUUUUGCAGUGGAAGAUUUAAUAAACCAAUAUAGUAUAAGAUGAAUCUCAAAAUCUAGAAACUUGGAUAAUACCAUUCCAGUAUCCACCACUUGUAAGAAAAGAAUCGAUGAGCCGUGGAAUGAAGCAAUCAUAGUUAAAGCAAUAAAAAUUUGGGAAUCAAUACAGAGUAUUAAUAUUACAUUAAUAAGAAGAUUUCAAGUUAAUAAGAUUUUAACCACCUAUAUAUAAUGCAUUACCUUGGAUCUUAUUAUAAAAAAUAUUAUUUACCAAGUGAAGAUUUGAGUAGCUUAAUUCAAAGUUUUAAAAUAUUUCUAUUGUUAAAAAAUAGAUAAUUUUUCUUUUUACUUUUAUAAGGAGUAUGUACUUUUUUAUCUUUUUUCUAUAAAUUUCAAUAUUGUCUAGAAUAGAUUGGUCGUACACGUAGUCAGGAGGAUUAUAAAACGACGAAGAUUAUUUGGUAUCUUGCAAUUGUUUUUACUUACCUUUAAAAAGAAAAAGAUAAGAAAACAAAAACAGCAACCAAUCACAUUGUGAGGAUCUAGAAUUAUGUUACUCUUCAAAUACGAAGCCAAACUACAAAAAAUACAUAACCCUAAUAAAGUUGCACAUGAUGAUCAUGAUAUUCAGUAAUUUAAUCAUCUUUUUAUAUAAUUGUAAUCCAUAGUAAAGUGGCUAGACAAUAACCAACUGUAAUUUAGAAUUGCAUAAUUGAAUUAUGAUUUUAAUUAAAUUAUGCUUGACAUGCAAAAAAAACCUUUCGACCUACUUCUUGGCUAUAACAAAUGUGCGCGUUACAUUUAUUACCUACACUCUUCCUCUCUUCUUUGUAUUGACAAACACAAGCACAAAUUAACUACUAGAAAAAUAGCUAAAGUUUCUGAGUCGAGUGAGUCAGAGGUUUUCGGGUCAAAGUCGAGGCUCCGUUCGUAGCUCCUGUUUCGGUCAAGCAACAUGUAAUCAAACCACUAUGGUUAAAAGCAAUAAAGAUCCAUUUCUUUCUUUAUUCUUAUUCUCUUACUAUUUGAUUUUGUUUAAGUUAUUUGGAAGAUUUGUUUCUAUUGUGCUUUCUGUGCUCCUUUGUGAAAAUGGCGUGAUGUUUUGGUUCAUUUAUUUGGUGUUCUGUUUUGAAUCUAUUAUUUUGUUUCAUGAGCAUGUGGUUUUAAGUUUAACACUAUUAUUUUAGUUUGUUUAAUGAAAGUUGAAAAUAGGAAACAGAGAUACAUUUUGGACCAUUGUCCAUUAGUUAAGCCAGUUGGGCCCUAGAGUGCUUUGUUUUCUAGGGGCAAGUGCACAAAUAGCUAUUUUUAGGUAUGUUAAUUAGAGAUUAGUCGCUCUCGCCGCGGGAGCAGCUCGAGCAGUCCACCGACAGCCGACGAGUUCGGGACUGGGACCCCCGUGCCCAGCCCUCAGAGCCAAUCCUUUUCCCGAAGUUACAAUGCUUAUUUUGUCCUAAAAUCUUAAUCUAAAAAUCUCAAUUUCAGGACAAUUAAGGACUUUUUUAUCCGAAAAUUUGAACUGAAAAACUGAAAUUCGGGAUGCAUUGCUAAUUCUUAAAUAACAACCCUUUAAAGCGGCUGCCUGGUGUCUUUCUACUAGUUUCCGGUAAUUAAUAAUGGGUCAAAUGAAUUAAGGAUUGUUACACAAAUAGCCAGCCAGAUUCAACGUUUACUUUUUAUAGCCCGUAUACAUAGAUUAUACAUUGAUUAUACACAAUUGAACAUAUAGUAUACAUGAGUUAUAUAUAUAUAUUAUAUAUCCGCCGACUAUUUUUAGUUAAAAAGAGUAAGUGUGUAGCUAUUUGGGUCAAUUCUUUAAUGAAUUAUAUAUGCCAUGCCCAAUUCAAUAAAGCGACAAGCUGGCCCCCUUUUUUUUAAAGUCCAUAAAUAAAUGAAUAUUUCAAUUCCGAGAACGUUAGCUUUUAUUAUGAUCACGGAUAGGUUUUCGUGGCAUGAUUAUGACAUUUAAUUAAAGAUGGGCCGGUAUUCCGCGUCAAUUGAUUUUUUGGCUAUUUAUAAACUUAUUUUUAGUUUUAUGAUCCUACUUCCUUUUUACACAUGUGAGAUGUAUUUUUACACGUAAGAGAUCUGUCUUUUACACAUAAGAAAUUUAAAAAGAUAAUUUUCUUAAAUUCAAAAUUGUAAAGGGGCAUGAUGUAAAAAUAGCACUCCAUUACGCGACUUGACCAAACUAAAUAAUUUUAUUGUGGUCAUGAAUACAUUUGUGUGGUAUGAUCAUGACAUCUAAUAAAAAGAAAGGGCAAGGACAUGUACGCGUGCCUUGUCCAAAAUACUUUUAAUAACAAUCAAGUUGUAAUAGGCUAAUCACAACCAAUAAAGCAUAAGAAUAUUCAAGAAUUAAUUUAAGUCAAUAAAAGUUAUCGUGCAAAAAUCAGGGGACAAGGGGUGUCUCACAUUUUCCCCUCAGUUAAUAUAAUUCCUUAUUUAGUCUUAUGUUCUCACGAACCAAUAAAAAUAGAGUCAAUUUUUUUUAUUAGGGAUUAAAUAAGGUGACUUGAAAUACUUAAACCCAAUUUCAAAUAGCAACUCUUAAGCAAAUAAAAUAAUUCCUAUUCAAAACCGUCACUUCAAAUGAAAAAUUCUUUAACCAUUUAAUUCCUUGUAAACGAGGAAUGUCUCCUUGAAGGCUAGAGAAAAUUUCGCUUGUUAAAGAAAUCACACAAAAAAUCCAAAAUGAUGACAAACAUUAUUGUACUUGUGUUCCUUUCCAUUUUUACACUGUUUAUUAUUUUUCCAGUUCUAUUGCUAUAACCAUUCAAGCAAAGCUUGCGCAUUCUGAACCUAAACAAAAUUUCACUAGCAAUAUGGCAUUUAUGACCCACGAAGUGCCUUUUUGCACCGACCUAAUCAUGGUUUCGUUAUUAAUAUUUCAAUUGGUGAGUUUUUUGUUUACCAGCUGGUACUAAUAGACAUCGAUAUCAAUAUGUUUUGGAUUCAGUGCUACCCAUGUGUUAAAUCUAAAGAUCAAAAAGAAAUUUCUCAUCCUGAUAAAUUAUCAAAAUAUCUUGAAGUACUUGGACGCUCUUGGACAUGUCACGCACUCAACUCAUAAUAUGGUGAAAGAUUUGAGCAUGUAUACACAUCAGGAUACUCAUAUUACACUUGGUGUAGAGGUACUAUUAGUAGGGACAGGGGCGGAUCUACAUAGAGCCUUGCGGGUGCUUGAGCACCCAUUAACCCCGACGCGGAGUAUGCAUAAUUAUAUAGAAAAUAUGACAAAGUCAAUAAAUGUAAUAAGAAAGCACCCAGCAAACAAAAUUUUUGAUGGUUGCUUUGGCAAAGGAUGGGUUCUGAGAGCUUGUUGACGCGGGUAGCGAGGGUUCGAAUCUUCAUUCUACACUAAUUUUAUGUGCAAUUUACUCUUUAUAGUUUAGGUCUUAUUGUCGUUUCUUUCAGCACAUACGACAUGUUUUCCACCAAACUAGUCCCUUUUUUUUCCUUUUCUUGACAGACUUCAUUGUUGGCUUCUUGAUUUAGUUCUUCUUUUUGCUUUUCCUUUAUCUGGUUGAUUAUAGAUAAUAAUAAUAAUAAUAGAAAAAACUAGCUUCCAAAAAACUCCAAGCCCUUCUUGAAAUUUUAUCUAACUGUUUAAUUUGAUAUAUAGAGCGUAAAAUAUUUGCAAGUGUAAGCAAUAAUGCUAUUAUAUUAUCUUUUUCAUAAUAUAAAAAGUCCAGUACAGUUGUGGCUUGUGACUGGAAGUCUCUUUUUAAUGAUAAUAUUAAGUGUAAUUCUCUUGUUUAACUUUUUUAUUGUCGUGUUCAAAUAGUUGUGCACUUAUACUAUGUGAUCGAUAGUAACUUUACGUUAAAAAAUAAAGCACCCACGACCUUAAAAUCCUGGAUCCGCCACUGAGCAGGGAAACUCUUCAUUUCAUUACCUCCGUCAACGAAGUUGAGAGUGUUCCUGAUAUAGCUUUUCAGUGCGCAACAUAUAAUGUUGGAGGCAACUUCGGGGACAAGUUUAGUGGUAUAACUAGUUUAGGUCCCAAUAAGAUAUUAGUGUUCGAGUGUUGACACAAACAGGGUCUGGAUUUUCAUACUUCAUUAACUAUAGUCACCUCAUCAUAUAUGAUAAACCAAGGUUAGCAGGGAUCUCACACACCUUAAGAUUUAUAAUAGUUCAUAUCAUUAUGCUAAAUAGGAUUAGCAUCAGAGGAAAACUUGUAGUAGAUAAAACGUUGUAUUUUUCUCAACUUACGGAUAGAGGUGGAGUUACAUUUGACAAGGGGUGUACUCAAGUAACCUAUUUGCAUAAAACAACUUUUAAGCUAUUGAGUGCAAAAAAUAAAAUCUAUAUGAAAGCUGGAAACUUGCAAUAGGUUUCAGAUAGGAUAUACCGACAGUAAGUAAUUAUGCUUUUACGCGCAUGUCUGAAAGGAUGUAAAAUAUUUUCUCGGUGUCACAUUUAACUUUAGUGAAUGUGCUGAUUUAUCCUUGGGAACAAAUGCUCUGUUUGAGUAUUUUUGCAUGACUAUUCAGUCAAUAUUGCCACAUUCGUCUUUUGUAGAACAUUAAUUAGAAGAUCCUACAAUUGUAGGUAUACCAGCAAUGCAAGACCACAAUUUCGAGUAUGAUAAUUAAAAACAAAUGUACAUAGAGGAUGUUGACUGCAAGACACUGUCAAAUGCACAUCCGUCGUCUAUGUACAUCAAACUCGAAAUUACGGUCUUGCAUUGCUGAUAUACCUAUAAUUGUGACAUCUUCGUUAAAGUGAAAUGUCACGUCGCGAAAAUCUUCUACAUCCUCUAAUGCAUGCUCAUAUAAAAUAAUAAUAAUCAUCGUCAAUAUACCUGUUUGCAACCAGCCGCAAGUUCCAAACUUUCAUUUAGCUUUUCAUUUUUUGCACUCAAUAAUAUGCAAAUAGGUUGUUGGCGACCUCUUGUCAAAUGUAAUUCUGCCUCCAUCCCUAGGUUGAGAAGAAAAUAACUUUCUGUUUACUGCAAGUUUUCCUCCAAUACUAAUCCCAUCUAGCAUCAUAUAAUAUGAACUAAUAUAAAUCUCAUAGGGUGUGGGAUCCCUAUCUAACCUUGCUUCAUCACCUAUGAUGAGGUGACUAGAUGAAUUAUUAAAGUUUAUGAUAUGGCCGAUGAACCUAUUUGUGUCAAUAUUGAUGCCUCACUGGGCUCUAAACCAAGUAUACCAUUAUACUCGUCCCCGAAUUCGUCUCCAACGUUAUAUGUUCCGCCCCCAAAAGCUACUCCAGGCAACACUCUCCACCUCGUUGUCUGAGAUAAUGAAAUAAAGAGUGUUCCUACUAAUAGUUGUAAACACCUAAUUUUUGACUAUAUUUAAAUUUUUAUAACUUUCUACUUUGUAAUUAUUUUUAGAAAUUUAAUAUAUAUUUUUUUAGCUUUGUUACAUUUUUUUUAUAUAGGGUAAGAAUUAAAAAUAAUUUAAAAGAUCAAAUAAUUACUAUUAGUAUUAUUUUUAUUUUUUAUCUUUAUUUUUAAAUAAAUAAAUUUAAAGAAACCGAAAAAAUAAAAAUAAAAAUUAUAUUUUCGGAUGGGAAUAAAAUAAUAGAAAAAUUAAAAGUAUAGAAUAAAAAAAGUAAAAGUAAAAGUAGGUGAAAAUUAUUUUUUUAAAAAAGUAAAAGAAAGUAGAAAAUUAAAAAAAUAAAAGUAAAAAAAUGUGAAAAUUUAAAAAAUGAAAAGUAAAAGAAGUUGGAAUUAAAAAAUAAAAUUAAAGGUAUCUGAUUUUUUUUUUAAAAAAAAGUAAAAGAAAGUAGAAAUUAAAAAAAAAAAGUAAGAUAAGUGGAAAUUAAAACAAAAGAAAAGUAAAAUAAGUAGAAAAUAAAAAGAAAAAGUAAAGUAAAAAGUGGAAAAUUAAAAAAAGAAAAGUAAAGGAAAAUGGGGAAUUGUUUUUUUAAAAAACGAAGAAAAAUGGGAAGUGGGAAUUCUUUUUAAUUAAAUAAUAAUAAAAUAAAAUAAAAAUCUGAAAAAAAAUCCGAAUUUGUUUUCUAUAAAUAGAAUAGAAAUGUGAGGAGAGAGGGGAGAGAAGGAGAAAAAAAGAAGGGAGAAGGGAAUUGAGAGAAAUUGUUUUUUCUUCUUCUACGCUAAGGGAAUUUCUACUCGUGUCAUUCUUUCUUCGUCUUUCUUUCAAACAAUCCAGCAAAUCAUCACCCAAAACCCAACAAAAAUACUUCAUAACAUCCUUUUUUACACGCCAAAAAGUGGAGUCAAUAGUCGAGGUCGAGGAUUCUGUUGGAGCUCCGUUCACUAGGUUUGAUGUUAUUCGUCUCUUAUGCUUGUUCGGCGUUCGUCUGAGUUAUUGUACGUGUUCUUGGAGACUCAUUUAAUUGAAAAUUUUGCAUUAAAGGUUUAUUCUUUCCUCUGUUCUUUUUAUCNNNNNNNNNNNNNNNNNNNNNNNNNNNNNNNNNNNNNNNNNNNNNNNNNNNNNNNNNNNNNNNNNNNNNNNNNNNNNNNNNNNNNNNNNNNNNNNNNNNNNNNNNNNNNNNNNNNNNNNNNNNNNNNNNNNNNNNNNNNNNNNNNNNNNNNNNNNNNNNNNNNNNNNNNNNNNNNNNNNNNNNNNNNNNNNNNNNNNNNNNNNNNNNNNNNNNNNNNNNNNNNNNNNNNNNNNNNNNNNNNNNNNNNNNNNNNNNNNNNNNNNNNNNNNNNNNNNNNNNNNNNNNNNNNNNNNNNNNNNNNNNNNNNNNNNNNNNNNNNNNNNNNNNNNNNNNNNNNNNNNNNNNNNNNNNNNNNNNNNNNNNNNNNNNNNNNNNNNNNNNNNNNNNNNNNNNNNNNNNNNNNNNNNNNNNNNNNNNNNNNNNNNNNNNNNNNNNNNNNNNNNNNNNNNNNNNNNNNNNNNNNNNNNNNNNNNNNNNNNNNNNNNNNNNNNNNNNNNNNNNNNNNNNNNNNNNNNNNNNNNNNNNNNNNNNNNNNNNNNNNNNNNNNNNNNNNNNNNNNNNNNNNNNNNNNNNNNNNNNNNNNNNNNNNNNNNNNNNNNNNNNNNNNNNNNNNNNNNNNNNNNNNNNNNNNNNNNNNNNNNNNNNNNNNNNNNNNNNNNNNNNNNNNNNNNNNNNNNNNNNNNNNNNNNNNNNNNNNNNNNNNNNNNNNNNNNNNNNNNNNNNNNNNNNNNNNNNNNNNNNNNNNNNNNNNNNNNNNNNNNNNNNNNNNNNNNNNNNNNNNNNNNNNNNNNNNNNNNNNNNNNNNNNNNNNNNNNNNNNNNNNNNNNNNNNNNNNNNNNNNNNNNNNNNNNNNNNNNNNNNNNNNNNNNNNNNNNNNNNNNNNNNNNNNNNNNNNNNNNNNNNNNNNNNNNNNNNNNNNNNNNNNNNNNNNNNNNNNNNNNNNNNNNNNNNNNNNNNNNNNNNNNNNNNNNNNNNNNNNNNNNNNNNNNNNNNNNNNNNNNNNNNNNNNNNNNNNNNNNNNNNNNNNNNNNNNNNNNNNNNNNNNNNNNNNNNNNNNNNNNNNNNNNNNNNNNNNNNNNNNNNNNNNNNNNNNNNNNNNNNNNNNNNNNNNNNNNNNNNNNNNNNNNNNNNNNNNNNNNNNNNNNNNNNNNNNNNNNNNNNNNNNNNNNNNNNNNNNNNNNNNNNNNNNNNNNNNNNNNNNNNNNNNNNNNNNNNNNNNNNNNNNNNNNNNNNNNNNNNNNNNNNNNNNNNNNNNNNNNNNNNNNNNNNNNNNNNNNNNNNNNNNNNNNNNNNNNNNNNNNNNNNNNNNNNNNNNNNNNNNNNNNNNNNNNNNNNNNNNNNNNNNNNNNNNNNNNNNNNNNNNNNNNNNNNNNNNNNNNNNNNNNNNNNNNNNNNNNNNNNNNNNNNNNNNNNNNNNNNNNNNNNNNNNNNNNNNNNNNNNNNNNNNNNNNNNNNNNNNNNNNNNNNNNNNNNNNNNNNNNNNNNNNNNNNNNNNNNNNNNNNNNNNNNNNNNNNNNNNNNNNNNNNNNNNNNNNNNNNNNNNNNNNNNNNNNNNNNNNNNNNNNNNNNNNNNNNNNNNNNNNNNNNNNNNNNNNNNNNNNNNNNNNNNNNNNNNNNNNNNNNNNNNNNNNNNNNNNNNNNNNNNNNNNNNNNNNNNNNNNNNNNNNNNNNNNNNNNNNNNNNNNNNNNNNNNNNNNNNNNNNNNNNNNNNNNNNNNNNNNNNNNNNNNNNNNNNNNNNUUAUAUAUAUAUAUAUAUAUAUAUAUAUUUAUUUAUUUAUUUAGUUUUGUUAUAUAUUUUUUAUAUAGGGUAAGAAUUAAAAAUAAUUUAAAAGAUCAAAUAAUUACUAUUAGUAUUAUUUUUAUUUUUUAUAUUUAUUUUUAAAUAAAAUAAAUUUUAAAAAAAAACAGAAAAAAUAAAUAUUAUUUUUAAUUUUUGGAUGGGAAUAAAAUAAUAGGAAAAUUAAAAGUAUGGAAUAAAAAAGGUAAAAGUAAAAGUAGGUGGAAAUUAUUUAUUUUUAAAAGUAAAAGAAAGUGAAAAAUUAAAAAAAUAAAAUUUAAAAAAUGUGAAAAUUUAAAAAAUGAAAAGUAAAAGAAGUUGGAAUUAAAAAAUAAAAGUAUAGCUGAAAUUGUUUUUACAAAAAAGUAAAAGAAAGUAGAAAUUAAAAAAAAGAAAGAAAGAAAAGUAAGAUAAAUGGAAAUUAAAAUAAAAAAAAAGUAAAAUAAGUGAAAAAUAAAAGAAAAAGAAAAGUAAAAAGUGAAAAAUUAAAAAAAGAAAAGUGAAGGAAAGUGGAGAAUUAUUUGUUUUUAGAAAAAGAAGAAAAAUGGGAAGUGGGAAUUCUUUUUAAUUAAAAAAUAAUAAAAUAAAAUAAAAAUCUGAACAAAUUCCGAUUAUUUCCUAUAAAUAGAAGAGAAAUGUGAGGAGAGAGGAGGGAGAAGGAGAAAAAACGAAGGGAGAAGGGAAUUGAGAGAAAUUGUUUUUCUUCUUCUACGCUAAGGGAAUUUCUACUCGUGUCAUUCUUUCUUCGUCUUUCUUUCAAACAAUCGAGCAAAUCAUCACCCAAAAUCCAUCAAAAAUAAUUCAUAACAUCCUUUUUUACACGCCAAAAAGUAGAGUCAAUAGUCGAGGUCGAGAAUUCCGUUGGAACUCCGUUCACUAGGUUUGAUGUUAUUCGUCGCUUAUGCUUGUUUGACGUUCGUCUGAGUCAUUGUAUCUGUUCUUGGAGACUCAUUUAAUUGGAAAUUUUGCAUUAAAGGUUUAUUCUUCCCUCUAUUCAUUUUAUCUGAUUUAAUGUAAUUUUAUUUAUUUACUUUUAAACUUUAUAAAUAAUAAUAUAAGUUAGUCUUUAAAUGCUAUAUGCUUAAUCAUGUUUUUGGAAAUAUGGUAUUCAAACUUGCUUUAAAGUUUGGAAGAUUUGGACCCUAAUGAGUUUGGGCUUCAAUUGUUGGGUUGUAAAGUAUUGGUAUACGAUGGUUUAUUUAUUCAAAUAUCUAAAAUCAUACACUUCUUCCACAAGUAAUUCCAUAAUUCAUGGCCUUCACAAUAAUCUCAAACUUAGGAAAGAAACAAAUCAUGAAUGCGCUAGAAUGCUUUAUGUCACACCUACUUUUUCCCGAAAGGAUAGGUGAGUUUUUUCAAUUAAAGUGACAUUAAUCGAAAUGGGAUUAUUUAUUUGUUCAGAGUCGCCACUUGGAAUAGUUUAUGGUGUCCCAAGUCACCAAUUUAUUUUAAAUCCCAAAUAGAGGAAAUUGACUCUAUUUAUGGUUCACGAACACAGAAGACCGUGUAAGUAAUUCUGUUAAUCCGGGAGAAGGUGUGAGGCACUCCCGAGUUCCGUGGUUUUAGCACAGUCGCUUAACAAUUAAUACUUGGCCUAGUUAUCUGAUUUAUUACAUGUUUUAGAACUUUUUAUGUGUUAAUGCUUCUAUACAGCUUUUAAUUAUUUUAAAAAAUUAUGGUUAUUUAAACAAGCUACGAUGUCGCGCACUCGCUUGUUUUUGUACAUAUUGUGAAUCGCGCCACGUGAAAUGCACCCGCGAUUUACAACAUGUUAAUUUUAAUUAUUAUUUGAAGUUAGAAUCGAGUCGCAUGAAAUGCACACUCGAAUUGGGGUUAUGUAUCAUGACUAUGCCACAGAAGUCGUACUCAUAGUCACGAUGUUUUAUUAUUAAUCGCGACUAAAGCAAGCUACAAGGUUCAUGAAUUAUUCAUUCUUUCCUAAAUUUAAGAUUGAUUGCAAGGUCGUGGAUUAUGGAUUAAUAUGAAGAAAACAUGUACAUCGAUGAGUUACUAAUUAUUCUGCGAAGCAUUGUAGUACAUGGAAUCGCAGCUAACAAGUCUUAAACAAAAUAAUUCACAUCAGUUCCUGCUUAAUCUCAACAUUCAUACUAAUUAUGGAUAGAUCGCCUCUUUCUAUCUUUAUCAAAUACGUACAGAUACUUUGAGUCCAGCAUAAAACUCCAACAACACUGCGAUUUCAAAAAUUUUAAAACAAAUCCUAGCUUUGAACCCACAAACACACAAUAAUAAAGUUUCAGCAAAAAAAAAAAGUUCAUCAAAUAGUCCUCCAAAUCGCAUCAUAAACAAAUAGGGUUCUAUUCAUAUCACGUGAAUAUGUAUUUAACUAGCAUGCCAUGAGUCUCAAAGAAAGACCAAAAAUUCAUCAUUCAAGAAAGACCAAUCAUUAUUACAGAGUGGUAUUAACAUACCUAGUUAGCAGGAAGUGAACAGUAUUGUGAUUGCCAAAUAAAGGCUAAAACGAAGGAAGAUGGAGUUCAACUAUGAUUAGCAAACAUCAACAAACUUUAAUAUUUGGUCGAAAAACAAAUUGAAACCCAGAAAAUAAUGAUGAAAAGCUCCUUGAAUCCAAGCAUCAAAUGCCCUCUUUGUAUGUUUGUUUUUGUUUUUUUUUGUUUUGGUCUGUUCCCUCUUGUAAAACCCAGAUUCACUUUUUGCCUUCCCCUAAAACUUUUAUGUCAUCCUCCUCUCUGUGUUUAUAUCCCCCACGUCAAAUUUUUUAUGUGUGAAGAUAAGAUAAUCAGAAUGUAAAAUGAGAAAAAUGAAUGAGGAUGCCAAGAGCUUUGGGAUUUUGCCAAAGAUAGAAGAAGAGAGAGAGGGGCGCCGAUUCUCUGUCUCUAGAGGGAAGGGGAUCCAAUUAGGUCUCCUCUGAUGGAGAGGGGAACUAGGGUGUAUUUUAGAAGUGAAGGGGGGAUAUUGGGCCGGCGGGUAGUGGGCUGGGGCGAAUGGAAGGAAAAUGAGCCACUAGAAGUACCUGGUCCAAAGCUGUAAUGAGACCCCAUAGCCUUCUCUUUUCUUUCUUUGUAUUUUGCAAGACUAAUCAAUUUAUUUAACACUCCUAAUUCCAACUAAUUUGUAAAAUUAGCCUAAUGACCUAUUUUUUUAUAAUUAACUAAUUUAUUUAGCUAAGCAAUGCAUGUAGAGUUACUAAUAUAUUU